AAACCAAAACGUUAGCCAUAGACCUGUAUUUUUCUGAUUAGAUCUAGAACGAAAGAGAUGUAGUUUAUGAGAAGAACCAAGCAUACAUUCUUAUAGUCGACUCAAAUGCCUUGCACAUCGCAUUGAACCCAGAUCGUGGAUGAUAGAUUAAUUGGGGGGGGGGUGAUUAAAGAUGAUUGAAUUAUCGGUUUCUGAGAUCUAGCGACGAAGGAGACGGAAGGUCAGAUGCGCAAGUUGAAUCGCCUUUCAAGCUAUAGACGCGAGAAGGUCCCAGCGGAACCUAAUCCAAAACGUUGCGUUUAGUGACAUUAUUUUUAAAAAUCCGUGACAUUAUGGGCUGCAUGGUGAUAAGGCCAAUUAAACAAUUUAUGCUCCAAAAUACGGAUUUAAACGAUGCGCUGCGUUUGCUCUGGUUGGACAGGUGUUGAAACCGCCUUCUGCUAAGGUAGAACUUUUCUUAAAAAGGCAAGAACAUAUAGUUUCCUAAUUAUAUUAACUAUUUCAUUUAAGGAAAUUUCAAAAAUUAUUUUGUAUGUGAGCAUGCCAAAAAAACUUGCAAAACAACUGGUAAAAAUUUACUCAUUAAUGUCCAAAAUUAUUAGCAAUAGUCAUAACCAAAUAACUGAAACCGGAAAUUUAAGCAGAUUAAUUUUUUUUUUUUAAAAACGUAAUGCAAAGUGUGCAAGAUUAUUAUAUGUAUAUAUUUUACGCGAAAAUUGGAAGUGGAUUACGUUUUUUAACGCGAAAUUUAGAAGUGGAUCAUCAUCUAUAUUUUUUUUUUUUAGCUUGCACGGUUUUCCUUUUCGUAGACUUAUUUAGUGUUGCCUGUAUCGUGUAAUGAGAAGUAUAUGUAAGUUGUUUCUAAGAUCAGUGUCUAUCUAGAUUUUGAUAAGUGUUGGGAAAAUUUCAGAUGCAAUUUGAGUCAUUUGAGUAAUCUAUACAAUUUUGUAAGUACGGGCAUGUUUUGAUGAACCUGUAAAUUUUUAUUCAAUUUCAAGUUUGGUCUGCUUUGUUAUGUCGGUUUAUUUGCUUGUAAUAUUUAAUUUUAAGAAUCAGUGAAAGUAUCAUGAAACUAAUAUACAUACUUAAAGACAAUAACAUGUCCGUAUGAUAUUUGUGUCAACUAAUAUGCUUUCUAUUACGUUUUCUGGUAGACAGAUUAGAAAUAGUUUGCCAAAUAAACCGGAUUGAUAAAACCGGUUUUUUUUAAAUGCUAUUGUAAUGACUGAAAAUAAAAGUGGUAAACCAUAAAGUUAAAUAACAAACAUGAUUCAUUGCGUGCUCCAGAAGAAACAUUAUCUUCACAGACACGCCAAUGUCUGUUACAGAUUAUGAACUUCUAAUUCUCGACCCUGUCUGGCAUCACUGCGACAAAAAAAAAUUCUCAUCAGUCGUUGCAUGAACAUAACAGACUGAAUAUAACAUAGGAAAUGUUAGCGUGAAGUUCACCUCAAGCUCGUUCUCGAGAACUUUUUUCCCCUGCAAUCAUAAAGAUCUAGUCAGCAUCUGAAACAAUACGAAUUGAAAUGACACACUAACAAAAACCAGUUCAAUAUAAACCUUGUUGUUACAGAGGCCCUUGAAGAUCUCUUUGUAGACUAUAUUUGUCACUCCAUCAGCUCCAUCUGAAUCAGAGGAAUCGUUUAAUAUCUUAAGCCCUUCCGGUGAUGUCACUCGAGAUAAAGCAACGUACAACUGGCCAUGGGUGAAGACCGAUCUAGGGAGGUACAAAGCAGCUUGUUUGAGGCUUUGCCCCUGACUUUUAUUGAUUGUCAUCGCAUAGCAUAGACGCAGUGGGUAUUGACGUCGGCAAAACGUGAAUGGAAGCAAAGUGUCAAGAGGGGUAAGCUGAAUCCGGGGGAUCAACACUGUUUCGCCUACUUGCGUGCCAGUCAUGAUCUCAACUUCUACUAUCCUUUCGCCUACUCGACUGACUAUCAUCCGUGUCCCAUUACAUAACCCAUACGCUUGGUUAAGAUUACGCAGCAUCAUUACCGGAGACCCCACCUUCAAGCAUAGCCUGUGGUUAGGCAGGCCAGAGAACUCAAGUGAGUUAAGAUAUUCUUGAGGGUAGUGGCUACUCCAAUCAUCAUCUGGCGUGGCUUCUAGCUCAACCGAAUCGGAGCUCAGAUACUCCUUUGCUUCUGAUGGAACCUGAGACAGCAUAUAUGCGUUAAGCUCAUGAACAGUACUAUUUGUAGGUGUCAGCACCGCUCUCUCUGUUAAGUACUUCCUGUUCCGAUAAUUAUGAAUGAAGUCAGGAUAUGCUGCAGCUGCUAAUGCCUCGUGUGGUUUGUCUGUUGCAGGGAUCAUGAAUCUUUGGUCCACAUCAAUUUGUUCACCCUCUUUAUUUUUGCUCCUGUGAGAGGAGACGGUAUCAGCUUCCCCAUCACCAACUUCCAGAAUCCAUUUGGCGAACUCCCUGUCUGCUUCUCUCAAACGCAUGUUGAUGGAAAGAGUAUAGACUACUGCAUUUUUCCAUAGAUAUGAUUUGCUGAUCGAUGCUAGGACUGUGUCUGGUCUUCUUCCAUGAGGCACAACUGGCAAUAUUUGCCUGAAAUCACCUCCCAAGAGAACAGUCUUGCCACCGAAAGGUUUGUCAGCAGCCGUAGGAUCUGCAGGAGUCAACAAAUCUCGGAGGGAACGGUCGAGUGUCUCAAACGCUUGACGGUGUGCCAUUGGAGCUUCAUCCCAUAUUAUUAAAUCUGAUUUGGCUAUCAACGAAGCCAACAUAGAAGAUCUUGGAAUAUUACACAUUGACACAUCGCUCAGUGUAAGCGGCAGUUUGAAUCUAGAAUGGGCUGUUCUACCACCGGGGAGUAAUAGCGCAGCAACACCAGAGGAUGCUACUGGGAUGACGACUUUGUUGGCUGAUCUAAGCUUUGCGAUUAUCGUCCUGUAUAGGUAUGUUUUCCCAGUACCUCCUGCUCCAUUAACGAAAAAUAACUGUCCAGAUUGCUUAUGAACAGAUUCAAGCACCGAAUCAUAUACUACUUUCUGAUCUAGAUUCAUUGUUUCGAACAGCUCAUUAUGCGUCUCAGUCUCUUGUUGAAUGUUAUAACUCAACUCCUGCAUCAGCACUGUGUUAGAAAUCUCAGUCAGAAUAGCAUCAUCAGGCACUGGAAUGGCAGGGUAAUCCGCUAGAGACUGACCAUUCUCCUUCAGUAGCUGUUCGAGCUCGAUCAGAGUAUAUUGUUUUAGCUGGUCGUCGCUGAGUUCAAGCCCUGGGAAUCUGAAUUCCUUUCGUUUGAUAUAAAGGAUGUCUUCUGCCAGAAACUUCCACGUAUGGUCCCAAAGCUUUAGUGGAUCUAUAACUUGACAAAAAAGUAAGAUUAUCACAAACAACCGUCUCAGCUGUCGACCCGUAGCCCAAUAUGAUGGCUCUUCUAUAGCAUCAUGCCAUUCUCUGUCGUCAUCAAGCAACCCCCGCGCGUAACAUGCUUCUCUAUACUUUUCAAAAAGCACACCCCCAACUGUUUUUAAAUCCUCAAAACACGUAGGCCCUUUAACAACAUUUACCAAAAUCCGUAAGAAGUAUUUGUCCCCGGCCGCUGGACUGACGUAAACCACUCUUCCUAUUGCUGCACCGGUUUUCCUGGGGGCCCAUAGUUUCCCUGAGGUGUGAUAAACGAACCUGGUAGGCAGUUCAACGUACGUCAGCUCUCGUGCUUCUUCAUACGUUUCACAUGCCACAAACCAUGCAGUUAACAUUGUUUUCUCAACGUCUUCCUUCGAAAUAACAUCCUCUAAUCUAGCAGAUUCGUCAAAUACAGUAUGGUGCUCCCCUGGUAGAUGCACAGGCAGUUUAACAACAUUAGGUUGAUUGUGAUGUAUGUGAAACGCGAACAAUCUCCAUGAGGCUUCACAUGCAGAGAUGUAUCGACAUUCCAUAUACCUAUCUAUCUCAUUUAUCACAUCCUUUCCGUCUUUCUUUUUCUCCUUCUCACUGCCUCCCCUUUCCACCUCUUUCAAAAGAACAGUAGCUCGAUCAACACCUUUUGUAAUGUAUUUAAAAAGAUAUUUGAUCGCACUGGUUCUGCAGCACCAUUCAACAUUGAUAUGGGCCUCAUAUUUUUUAAGAAUGCUGAGGUUGUGAGGGACAACGUACUGAUUUCCCAGCUCAAUGUUGCUCUUCAAGACUAAAUGCUUAGGAUCUGAUCUCCUUCUGUAUUUGACAAAUCCAGACUUGUCAAUGUGUGUAUGAUCCGAUAAUGGCUUAGGGUAAGCCUUUGUGCAUUCUCCUUUGUCCAUGCAAGGUGAUUUAGGUCGACGUUUUCCACAUGGGCCAUGUAUCAUAUGACGGUCGACCAAUGCAAAACCCUCAGGAUCUAGAUCUCUGUCUGGCAACUCAGCUGAUAUGUACUCAUCAAUCAUUGCGGCGCUUGCUUCUUUCUUAAUGCCUUCUAACCAUAAUAGAAUAUGGGCAUGUGGCAGUCCUCGUUUUUGAAACUCAAUGGUGUAUACAACUACAUGGUUUUUGAAAAAUGAAUCAGUAACACAAUCUCAGUACGUAAAAAUAUAUAUAAAGUAAUCAGGUAACAGACCGCUAAAAGUGUUUACCUGCAGAAGUUUUAGGAAAGAAAACUCCUUUCUUGAAAUCUGAAACCAUCUCGUCCAGUUUGAGUUUGAACAGCCUACAUUCAAGGUCAGGCCGGCUAUUAGCAGAUUCGCCACCGUAUGCAUCCAGAUGAUCCUUUAACUCCACCCAGUUUGGAUUUGCUGUCACUGUGAUGAACAGAUGAGGAUUUCCGUACCACCUACAUAUAGCCAUUGCGUCUUGAUACUUUUCAGACAUGUACCUAGGUCCACCAGUGAAUGAAGAAGGUAGAAUGAUCUUCCUGCCAAGCAUUUUUGCAUCUGAAUCUCCGCUAUCCACAGCGUCACACACAUUACUAUACAAAUCUGCUCUGAGUUUCUUUUGGUUCAAUAGAAUAAACCUUAAUCUCUCUUGCUCUGUGGCAGUGUAUGCAUCUACAAUAUAUUGGUGCAGCAAUCUCCCGCCCUUUAUGAUCGUCAUACCCUCAGUAGGCCGAGUCUGAAACUGAUAAGCGUAAAACUCACGCAUUGUCAUGUAUUCUCUUCUUACUGUAGACGUUUCAGGGCCUUCAUAUGGCAUCCUCUGGUUAUAGCCAGCCUCUCCGUACGGAAACAACAAUGGAUAUUGGAGGCUCAUCAUCAGGGGGUGUUGAUCACUGAUUCUCUGCAAAUUAGACGAUUUGAGCUCCACCACAAUAUCUCUACCAACAGAAGUUGCAGAUAGAUCUCCAACUAUCAAUCCACCAAUCUCGCUCGCACUCGGAAGAUCGUAUUGACGCCCAAGGUUAGUUUGACUGACCAGAGUGAUACUAUAUUCAAUAGUACCAGUGUCUUUAAAUCUAUCACGGGCAUGGCGAAACGUCUUUGCGAGGUGGUUAUGUAUGUCCAUCAUCUCAAUCAAUUGAACAAUGACACUGUCAGGGAUAGCCAAAGAGGAGGUACCUUGAGUGAACGCUCGCUUUCUGUUUUCUAGCUCAUUAUCUGUGUCAAAAAUAUAUAACUGUAAAUAUUCUGGCAGAGCACCAUCUUCAGGAAGUAGAGACCCGAUCCUAUGAAUAACCUGUCCAUUGACCCGGUAUGUAAAUGGUCCUGAAGUACCAGUAACACUAUGAUCAACAUUAGCACCCAUUGAUGUGAAUGCUAGCAGACUGUUGGCAACUCGGAUCUGAGCUCGAAAUUUAUGACUUUCAAGAAGUUCUUUGAGGGGAGACGGUGCUUCUCGCACAGGUGGAAGUCUGACUCUUCCUUGUUGGCAACAAAUGCUGAACUGACCUUCACCACGAUUGAUAUCACCACCAACAGCUUCACCAGCCCAUAGCAAAGCGUGGCACGAUGGACAUGAUACUAUCUCGUAUCUGUCAUUAGUUUUUUUUUUCUUUUUCCCUGAUUACAACAUAUUAUGAGGCAGAGUGUUAGUUGUGUAGUGACCAUUUUACUCCAGUUCUGGAUUUUAUAAUUUAUACGAAUAGUUGAUGACAACGCUGACCCUUUCUAUCGUAUGCUUGUGUGAAUUGCAAUUCCCUUUUGCGUACACAAAGUGCCUUUCUAAGUAAUCUUGCUUUCCUAGCAGAAUCUGCAUUGUUGUUGUGAUCAUAAAAUAAUAUGUAUGGUCAAUUAGAAAAUUAUUUGUUCACCAUGAUUCAUGUGUACCUGAUGAUAUUCUGCUCGCCUGACUAAUGUUCUGAGGAGACUCAGAUACUCUGUAAAUUUCAGAUAGCCACGGGCGAUGAAGUGUGGUACCGGCUACGUCCGAGGAAGAGCAUUGAUCUGGAAACAAAUAAAUAUGUUGUUUAUUCCAGAUACUGUAUAUUAACAGUCCUGUUUUUUUUUUUUUUUUUUAAAGGUGUGUGUUGUACUUUGACGUUCAAUCGGCGGUCUUCCUCGCCUCCGUUUAUUGGGUUGUUCAGUGGAAGCUAAGAGGGGGAAAAACGUGAAGUUUGUGUUACUACAGUCGGAAUUAGAUCUCAGAUGAUAUGGGUGUAUGAAGAUAAUUCUUACAAAACAAAAUAAACGUCUAACCUCUCGUCGAUGUCUGACUUCUCUUAGAUGAUCGAAUGACAGCCCUCGUAUGUCGAGCUAAACGUGAACCGUUAUCUACAUGGAAAUAUCACAGUGAAGUUUUAUAUUAAUUCGAGACUUCUGAUGCAAAAGGCCGUGUGGUGACUUCAGUAUAUCAGAAAAAUCUUAACAGUUGAUAUUUAGGAAACUCGUUGACUGUUAUGGAUUUGUAGCUGAUUCAAACCUGUAAUCGAGGUAGAAGGAACGUUAGUUCCGUCUAAGGACUUCGUAGUUGAAUUCUUGACCAUAAUUUUAAAGCGAAGGAACCUUUCAAGAUGGUUUUUCUAUUUUGGUUUGUGAAUCAUAAGGUUUCAUGAGACGACUGGAUUAUCUAGCGUCUCUGAUGAUCUAGCGCCCCGCAAAUAGAGCCUUCCAUGAGGAGUUAAGUGGCAGUUACAAUGUCGAUGGUGAGCAUUUGAACAGUUGCACCAUGAAUUGUGUUUGUAGUGAUGUAUGUUUAAACUUUUUGUUAUUAACCCAAAACUUUAUUAUUAUCUAUUGUAUUUAAUGCUUUCCGUAUGAAUAUUUAUUUUUUAAAAGAUUUAUGUGUUUCUCGUCGCAAUGUUUAGCUUAUUAUUUUACACAUUACACAUGCUACUGCAUACCUAAGAACAAUAAAUCAAAUCAGUUGUUACCAAUUUUCUUUUAAAAAAUCCAGGCCCCAUUCAUAUGUUUCAUGGGAAUUAUAGCCGAACCGGUGAGAGGUUACUUAAAUUAAACCGUUGCUUCGUGCCAUUUUUUCCAAAUAUGUGUAUAUUUCGGUUCAGUGCUCAGCCAAUAAUAUAUUGACGUCGACAUUUCUGCAAAACAAUUCGACUGUAAUUUCAAAUGCUUAAUUGUUCACAAAAUUAAAUAAACAGUAAAUAUUAUACAGCAGUGUCUGGACUAUAUGAACAGCAACACGAAGAGAACAUCGCAAAAACUAUUAUCAUUAAUUAAUUAAUUUUACGAACAUGCUACCUACCAUGAAAGUAAUAAGAAGGUGACAAAUGUACUAAAUUCAAGUCUAAACGAAUAAGCAAAUAUAAAUACUAUAUUCUGGGUGGAAUAUAUGUAAAUUUGUUUGGUUUAUCUCUAAGGGAAUCUAAAAUAAACAAAAAUAAACAAAAAUAAUUUAUGCAAAAUAAUAUAUACUAAAUUAAAGUGCAACUGAAUCAGCAAAUAAAAAUUUUACGUUGUCGGUCGAUGCUAUGUAAAUGUGCUUUGUUUAUUUCCAAGGAAAUUCAAAGAAACACAAACAUUUUUUUGGAACUACAAUAACAUAAAGUAGAAGUAAAUAUGAAAUGCAUACUUGUUUAUAAAAAAACAACUCAAAUGUCAACAAUGAUAAAAACACCAAAAUAGAAAUUUCAAAUCCAUACUUGUUCAUAUAAAAAAAAAAAACGACUUUAUUAUUAUUGAGAAGAAAACUAUGCGUUUCCACUUAUGCCUUCCGUGCCUUCUUCGACUUAGCAGAUGCUUUUCCAGACUUGCUACAUCCACCACCGUCCAUCUUACGACUAACCAAACCAGCAUCCUUGUUGUCAUCUCCAUUGUCAUCGUCGCCACCCUAUCGUAUGAAAACGUUAAAUGUAGACAAAACAUGAGGGCUAGGUAAAAUAUAAGCGGCUUACAUCAUUAACGAAGUCAGGCUGUGGCUCACGGUCACCCUCGCCGAGGAUGCGUGAAAUGGUGAAGCUCUGAUGAUUUGCAGUGAAAUUGUAUGGGCCCACCUUCACCUGAAACGUGUAUGUCUUUCCCUCCAUGUCAAGAACAAACGGAGGGGUAUCAGUUUCUUCGGGGUUGACCCCAUCACCAGCCUGCAUGGACAAUGACACGAUUGAUUGAGUGGAUACUCAGCUCACAAAUAAAGCACAGAAUUGACGAACGUACCAAGAGGUUGGCAGCUUCAUGGGCCCUCAUGUUAUGGAGCUUCGCCAUAACUCCAUCAAAUGCAACAAACAAACCCUCACCAGUCUUGUCUGCAAUUGACAUCUCCACACGGUACCUAUCACAUAGGAUAAAUGUAUCAAAUAACACAGCAAGUUUAGCGUAAACUGAUAAGCUGCUCAGAUUCAGUACAGACCGAAGGACACCAACUGCAUUCGUGUUGUUGCAAAACAGACAUGUAAGAGAUGAGACAGACCGGUGGAGUUUCUUGAAACAUUUUGAACAGGAAACAUAGCACCACCCCUUGUCCACUUUGAUUUCGGUAACUUUUCCGGUGCAAAUGAAAUCAAUGUCCUGCAUCUCUAUAAAGUUAGAGUGCCGCCACCAUAAUUCACAUUCGAUAUGGAUCAUCACAAUGAUGCUAACAAACCUGGGACGCAGCAGAAAGGACAAAAUCAUUGAGCUCAGUUAUGCUCAGCUUCUCGACCUUCGCAUAACUCUUUAGCAGCGGAGCUACUGGCGGGACCCCAGUGUCUUGCUCAACCAACCUGUGAUGAAGACAACAAUGUUGUCAGGCACAACAAUAUACGAUCGAAAAUAUCCUAAUCCGGUCAUGUUUAAAAUUAGAUGUCUCGGAAAAUGAUACCUGUAAAACAAUCUCUCCCCUGCAUCUGUUUCCUUGUCGAAAUAGAUGUGUGUACCGGAUGUUGCGUUCAAAAACAGACGACCUGCAUCGUAAGUAGAAUAUGUAUGAGUUCGACAUCAUUACAGAGGCAGCCAUAUUUGUGCCAUAGUGGCUGCAUACCUCCCACUAUUUUCGGAUUCACACUGGUUGCAACGAAAACCCUUGGAUCCACUCUCAUCUGCUCGAGCUGGUUAUGAAUCUUGACAGCCUGAGCGUCAAAGAGGCUCAUAGUCACAGAUGUGUCACUGCAUCAUGAGAGGAAGAAUAGUAAGAAGAAUGUAGACAGGACGUCGAAAUCAAUUCUGAAUUUAACAAAGUUCAUAAAUACUUACUUGUCCAUCUUGAUGGUCGUCAUAACACGAUUCUUGUCCUGAGGGGGGUCAGUGACCGUACUCUUGACAGCAGUUAUCUCUCCAAUAAGAUCUGUGACAAAGAAUAUCAGAAACCCAAAUAUGUAGUCAGAGGAGAUGAUAAGAAGAGCAUUACCUGGAAGCUGGUUGUUGGAGUUAGCAAGACCAAGCAUCUCACUGUAGUUACGAAACCGGAAUGAUUCAAGAGGUAUCGGAACAGCCGGUUCAGUGAUCUUCUCGAAAGUGGUGGAGUCGCUAAACCGGAUUUGUAGAGAAGAGUCCGAGAGGCGGUAAUUCUGGUUACACCUUGUUACUUCAAAACCGGUCAGGGAGUAAACCGAACCCGCUUCAAGAUUAGUCUGGUGCACUGCGAGACGGUUAACGUUGACAGUAGCCGGCAUCAUGGUCGACUGAAAAUUAAACAAACACAAAUACAAUUAACAAAAAAAAAAAAAAAAAAAAACGGAUAGAUAAAACGAAAGUGCCACAGAAUUGAUUAAAUAUAUAAUUAUCUAUCAAUCUAUUAAUUCUGACGUGAGGAAAUCUAACAAAUGACAUAACCAUCUAACAAAUCUGAUUUAAACAAAGCUAACAAAUCUAAUAACAUUCUGGUUUAGCAAAUACGUACACAGAUUUGGACUGAUAAUCAGCAAGAACAAAAAAAUGAUCGUUGUGGAUCUAAUGUGGAUUCAAGACGGCGGUUGCAUGAACAACAUUCAAUCGGGUAAAAUAAAAAAACCGCGGAUGUAAAACAAAACCUUAGAGUCAAGCAAGAGCAUGUCGACGCCCAUGAGCUCGCCACCUCGGCGGACGUUUCUGGCCUCCCAGAAGCGGAGCAAGCGCACUUCAACGGUGGAAGAGGAGCGACCGGCCUGGAGAUCGGAGAGGAAAACCAAAACGUUAGCCAUAGCACUGUAUUUUUCUGAUUAGAUCUAGAACGAAAGAGAUGUAGUUUAUGAGCAGAACCAAGUACCUUCUUAUAGUCGUCUCAAAUGCCUUGCACAUCGCAUUGAAUCCAGAUCGUGGAUGAUAGAUUAAUUGGGGGGUGAUUAAAGAUGAUUGAUUGAUCGGUUUCAGAGAUCUAGCGACGAAGGAGACCGAAGGUCAGAUGCGCAAGUUGAAUCGCCUUGCGAGCUAUAGACGCGAGAAGGCCUCAGCAUAACUUAAUCCGAGAACGUUGCGUUUAGUGACAGUCUAACACACGUGAUGGGCUGAAUGUUUUAAAGCCCAACAAAACAAUUGAAAUAGAGUGAACGACUUAAACGGCGCGCUGCGUUUUACAGAUCGGACACGUGUCGCAACAUCCUCUCUCUAUUUGUUGCGCUGGCGCAAGGAGAAGGGAGUCCCUCUCUACUUUAUGUUAUUAGAUUCCUACGUCUUAAACUCAAACUAAUUUUAGAAUAACUGUUAGGGUGGUGCACCUCAUAAUAGGAGAUAGUUUCUCAAUAGAAACAUUUUAUUAAAUUUUCUAGAAACUAAAUUAACAAGGGUCUCUUGUGCAAUAGUUCAAUUUAUAUAAAAAAAAAAUAGUUAGAAGACUUUGCACAAAGAAAACACAUUCGCGAUCACACAGAAAUCGAUAUAUUAUAUAGGGUUUUCAAAAUAACGAAGACUUUUCUUCAUUAUAAUACUGUAUGGCUUGCCCGCGGGCCUGGCCCAUAGACCCAAUGCGGGGCGGGAUUGGAUACAGAUUUUACGGCCCGUUUGUUAGCGGGCCUCGCGGGUUAUGCCCGCAAUGGUAUUGAGCCGAAGCGGGAUGCGUGACAAUUGGGUGGCCCGCUUGAAUUUUCUCAUUUCGUCUCUUUGGUAACACCAACAAGAGCUUAGAGUAAACCAGAGAUGAUGAUGGCGAUUCUCAUUUCCUCCAACCGGUAACCUAAACUCAUUUACUUCAGUUGUGCCUCUUCCAGUUCGCUUUCAAUCAAUGAAUCAUAUUUUCUCUUCAAGCUUUGCAAUGUUGACCAGAACUCGUUCACUUUCUUUGUUACUCAUCGUAGGGAAAAAAGGAUUUUUUUUCUGAAGUGAGUGUGAGUGGAGACAAGAAAUUCUACACAAAACUUGUUUUUUAUUGUUGCUUUUCUAGAAACUUAAUCAUCGUUCUCGAAUGUGAGUUGUCUAAACUUUCCUUUUAUUUAUUGUCUUUGCUUGGUGGACCAUUAUAAAUGUCAACGGGUUGAAAACUUGAAAUGUGGUAGCGAUUUGGAUGUUUGAGAGAUGUAUAGUUAAUAUUAAGAUGGACAUCCAACUCGCUAGUGUGAUAGAAUAUAUGGAAUCUUAUAUGGAAUGCAGUUAUUCAAGUGUAGUUUAAGUGUCUUCUUAAUCUUUUGGAAGAGUUGAUAAAGUUCUAAUAGACUGUGAAUGUAAUGCUUCUACAUCGUUAUCUCGGAAGAUUUGAAAUGUUGAGCGUCUUUUACAGUGUAUGAUUGAGUCUAGCCUUAGGCAGUUAUAGUUUGCUAUGAGGGUCUUUCUUCUUUGUUUCUUUGACAUUAGCUACGUGAUAUAAAGCUUUUGUCUUGCUUUGGGACUUGAUGUUAGCAGAAGCUUUUACUAUUAGUUACAAAAGCUUGUGGUUCCUAUUGAAUUUACUUAGUGAUGCCAAAACUAAUCUUUUUUUUUAACUUGUAUAUAUAUAUAUCAACAGGAUUGUAGUAGGACAAGUUACUGUUUCUGGAGAACACCAAUGGAUACAAUGUCUUAUGCUACAAACGAAAGUCGAGACAAUAUUUGCAACUUAAUGGAUUUGAUCAACCUGAUAACUUAUUGCUGUCUCGUUCUUCUUCCAGGUUCACAGGAUUGGUCAAGCUUUGAAGAUAUGGGCCCGUGGGCCGACCCGCAUACCCGUUGCUAUAGUGCGGGUCGGGAUUGGUCAUAGGGUUCAUGGUCCGCAUCCCGCAGCGGUACGACCCGCAAAGACCCAACUGAAAAUAGUACCACAGCGGGAUGGGACAAAUGGGUUGCGGGUAAGCCCAAUUGCCAUCUCUAAUAAUACACAUUGACUUGUUUGAGUGGUAAGUCGAUCUCCCUUGGUAUACUUAGUUUAAAAAAUAUAUAUAACUAAGAUCUUCACCACAAAAAAUAAUAAUACAAAAAUAACUAAAACCAUACAUUUUACUCAAUUAAAAAAACUUUAUUAAAUUCUCAAAAACUCAGUUAAACACAUAUCCCUUGUGUUAUAAAGUUAAACUAAAAUAAUUAAAAUAUUAUUGUUAGCAAAUUUAUAUCUCUCAUAAUCAUUUAUGGGCUCUAAUAAAGAAGUUGACAUACAUUUUGUAACAAUAUAAAACCGACUGUUAACUCAACUAUAAAAAAUUAUUAAAUUCUCAAGAAACUCCAUUAACAUAUGUCUCUUGUGUUACAAAAAAUAAAAUAAGAUAAUUAAAAUAUUAUUGUUAGCAAAUUUAUAUAUCUCCCAAUCAUUUAUGGGAUCUAAUAAAGAACUAGACAGAAUUUUUUUGUAAUUAUAAGACUAUGACGGCCCGUAAAUAAAAGGCCCAAGCCCAGCAGGUAAAGAGUGAUCUUCGAAACUAGGGUUUUGUCUGAAGCUUCAUUGCCUCGAGUUUAUCAGUCGCUCUCUUUACCUCUUUGCAUCCUUUUCUGCAUCUUUUCUUCAGCGGAGAACAGCAACCAGUAGCCAUGGCUGAACAGGUUCGAUCUCUUCGUUAUAUAUCUCUUUAUUAAUACAUUUCUUAAGAAUAUUCUAAUUCUCUUCUCUCAUUUGCAGACUGAGAAAGCUUUCCUCAAGCAACCCAAAGUCUUCCUAAGGUAAAAAGAAAAAAGAAUGAAUCUUUAUCGUUGUGCUUUAAGAGCUUGUCCUUAAGAUGAUUAUUAUGUGACUAUUUCAGCUCGAAGAAAUCUGGGAAAGGAAAGAGACCUGGUAAAGGUGGAAACCGUUUCUGGAAGAACAUUGGUUUGGGUUUCAAGACUCCUCGUGACGCCAUUGAUGGUAGCUUCUAAGUUCUAAUUAUCCUUAAAGGAGAAAACUUUAGCAUUCUUUCUCAGACAUGUGUUGUCUGUGGAACAGGAACUUACAUUGACAGGAAAUGCCCAUUCACUGGAACUGUUUCAGUAAGAGGACGUAUCUUAGCUGGUACUUGCCACAGUGCCAAGAUGCAGAGAACCAUCAUCGUUCGCAGGAACUAUCUCCAUUUCGUCAAGAAGUAUCAAAGGUACUAACUAACCUCUCUUCUUUAUGUUUAGUAUUAAUGUUUUAAUAAUCUUAUUUUGAUCAGAUAUGAGAAGAGACAUUCCAACAUCCCUGCCCAUGUCUCACCUUGCUUCCGUGUCAAGGAAGGUGAUCAUGUCAUCAUUGGCCAAUGCAGGCCGUUGUCAAAGACGGUGAGGUUCAAUGUGCUGAAGGUGAUCCCAGCAGGUGCAUCUGCAUUUGCAAAGAAGGCAUUCACUGGAAUGUAAGAGUUUUUUUGAAGCUAUGGAGGGUUUUCUUUGUUUGGUUUUGAUUUUUGGAAUGUGUUGUUUGGUGUACUGGUUCUAAAUGUUUUGUCUUUGGUUUGGUACUUAUCUCUAUAAGAGUCCAUUGCUUAGCUUAAUCUUAAACAAGGACAGAUAUUCAAUGAUUUAUCCUAAUUGUUUAUGAGUUUUGUAUCUAAGUGAUACAUGUUGAUCAAAUGAAAAACAAGUUGGAGGAUUUAAAGAACAUAGAACAUCAUAACACAAUCAUAUGAGUCAUAUCCGUAAGAGAGACAUUCCAAAUGUCAGAAAAAAAACUAAGUUCGAAUGUAAUAGUUUUUGGUUUAGAAUAAAUAGUAUGGUGGCAAAUAAGUACGAACUAGUUCACUAGCGCAACCAUGAUGAACCCAAGCACCGACUAAUCGACCCAACAAAUAAUAUGUGGGCCAGAAUAAUUAUAGGCACAAAGCUGAUGGGUGUUGAGAUCUUUAGACAAAAAGUAAAAAGAGAGGUCCUACCGGGAGUCGAACCCAGGUCGCUGGAUUCAAAGUCCAGAGUGCUAACCACUACACCAUAGAACCAGAUGUUGUGCUGUUUAAAAGAUUACGUUCUAUAUUCAAAAUAAUAAGCUUUUUUUAAUUGUGAAACUCAUUGCAUCUUCUUAUAUAUACAUCUAUCUAUAAUAUUAAAAGAGAAACAUUCUGAAAAAUCUACUUACAAAAGUUUGUUGCACCAUUUUAUUAGACUUAACUAUUUUUUUGGUCUUACUUUAUAUUUUUCUAACUAUACAACAUUGUUAUUAAUCUAUACUAUUCAAAAUUUCACUUAAGAUUUUGUCUUUGAUUUGCUUUGCCACUUUUAUUUUUAUGCCUAACAACAUUUAUUAUCUUCAACUGUUUUACUAUAAAUUUGUCAAGUCAUAAAUAUUUUAACAAUAUUUUCAAAUCUCUGAACAUAUCAACAAUUUUAAUAUGAUUAAUUAAUUUUUGAUAGACUUUCUUUAACCCUUUUUUACAUCACGUAUAUAUUCUUACUUGUUGAAUGUCGUGGAAUGGUCAACACUUCAAAUUUAUCUUAUAUUCUAUCAGUUAAAAAUAAUAAUUACUAGACGUUAACUCGUGCACAUGCACAGAGUGAGUUUUUCAGGAUGCACCGAAGCUAUGAAUUAAGGAACAACUUUACACCAAUUCUAAAUUAUUUCAAUUUUGUCUAUUCUAUCUAAAAUAGUUUUAUAUAUAUCAAGUUACAAAAAUAUAUAUUUAGAUAUUGAUUUCCUUAGAUAAAAACUUUAAUUAUUUACAUUUUAUCAGUUUGCAUAUUUUCCAUAUUAUAAGUUACAAUGAAAUAUGGAAGAUAUAAUGAAAUGUGCAAACUGAUAUAAUGUAAAUAAUCAAAGUUUCUACGACAAAAUAUGGAAGAUAAGAGGUUGCGGAAAUGGAGCAAGAGGGAGUGUGGCAUUGACAAAUGAUAACAAAAUAAUUUUUGUGAGAGAUACACGAGCUUUUUUUACAGUAAAUAUAGAAAUGUUACACAAUAUAUAUGGGAUUAAAUUUAUAAAUCAAAGUGAUAUAUUCGAACUACAAAACUUCAAAAAGAAGUAUACAUACAAGUUAAUAGUGAUAUUCUUUUAUUUUGAAAGGUUUAGGUUUAUAUCCAAAUUAGACUAAAUAUGAGAGUUGAUACCAAAUACAAAAUAAUAAACAUGUUCUUGAUAUUAUGAAAGCACAUAUUUACUCUUUGUUUAAGCUUUAGUUUUAUCCAUUUUAAAUAUUUAUGUUCAAAAUUUUAAUACUAAAUUAAAUAUAUUAUUCUUUUGUUUAAAUUAUUAAUUCAUAUCAGUCGAAAUAUGAUACUAAAAUAACAGUUAGAAAUAUGAAGAUUCCUGCGGCGUAGCGCGGGUUAUUAUCUAGUUUACCUAAUAUACACAAAAUAUUCCAAGUACUUUGAGUAUCCGAUCAGGUCUUGGGUAGGAUGGACCCAAACCAAGACCUGCUAGUCAAAAAAAUAUCCAAUAGGUACUUUGCCUUGGACCGAGACCCAAACCAAAUAUAUAUUUUCAAGUCGGUUUUAGUUAUACAAAAUCUCAAAUAAAUUAACUCAUAAAUUAUAUAAUUGUUAAAAAAAAAUUGUUGCUUCGAAAUAAUACAGACUUUGUAACAUAAUAAUGUACAAUCUCGAAAUUCUAAAUUAUAUCAAUUUUAUUUAUAAUCCAAGAGAAUUCGCGCUUUUGAAGUGCGGUCAAAAUCAAAUUUUUAUUAAUUAAGAAACAUAAUAUAUCAUACUAUAUAUGUAGUAAAAUGCAUUGGGUACUUGGAAUCCUAUGGAUGAAGACAACAAAUUUAAGUAUAAUUUAGAUUUUGCCUCGUGAUGACGUCAAAGAUUCGGACUUGUAUGCAAUUGUUGCUGUCAGUGAACAUACUAUAGAAACUCUAUAAAUUAAUAUUUGAUAAAUUAAUUAACAAGCUAAAUUAAUACAUUUAUUUGGUUCCAAGUUCGGCCGGUUCAAAAUAAUUUUUAGAAAAUUGUAUGUAAAUAUAUAGUCCCACUACAAUUUAUAUAAAUAUAAUUUAUAUAAGUACAAAUAAAAUAUUGUAUUAUGUGUUUUAUAUAUUCACAAAAAAUAUUCACAAUGAAGUUUAUCUGUAUUUUUUCUUAACACUUCAAUAUAUUUUGAUAAUAUUUAAUGAAUGUAUAUGUAAAACUAUAUUUAAAUUCUAUGAAACAUAUUUUGUAUACACCAAAUAAUAUAACAAGCAUAUAUAAAAGUUGAAUUUAUAAAAUUUAAUGAAUAUAUAUACAAAUAAACUAUUUUCUUGUUUUAUAGAAAAGUCAUAUUCUAAAAUACAGAAAUCUAAAAAAAUGAAACUUUUUAUAAAUUAAUAACUCUAUAAAUGAAUAAAUUUCAUAUUCCCGAUAUUAUUAAUUUAUAGAGUUUUUACUGCAAUAAGAUUUAAAGGCUCUAAGCCUUUUUUCUUCAUUACUUUUUUAUAAAUGAAAAUAUAGAUUUGUUUCCAGUAUUGUUUACCAGCUGUGAUAUGAUACAAUGUAUUACCAUUAUGUACCAUAUAUGAUUAGGACUACAAAAUAUUAUGGUUAGGACUAGAAAAUAAAAAAAAUUAGGAAAAAGCAAAAAAAAAAGUAUGUGUUUGUCUAUAAAAGUUAUAGCUACCUAAGUAUAGGUAUUUAUCAUUAACAUUGCUUUCUUUCAAAUGAUAUAUAUAUGUUAUGAUUCUUCUCCAUGUAGGUUCAGUAGCUCUUGAAAUAUCUCAGUUUUGAGGUUUUAUCAAUGCUAGUUUUGGAGGUUAUAGUGUCAUUCUCAAGUGUUGGUCUAACAUUUUCUUGAAGGUUGUAAUAGAUUUACUUAGAGAAUGAUCAUAUCAGAGAAAACUGGUGGUGGGUUAUCAUGGAGUAGGGAUGAUAAUAUUGCUUUUGAGAGAGCUCUUGUGGUUUAUACCGACAAGACAGAUAAUCGUUGGGAAAAGAUUGCUGACUCUGUUCCAGAGAAAACUCUAGCACAAGUUAUAGAACAUUACAAUAGUUUACUUCAUGAUAUUACGAUGAUUGAAUCUGGAAUUGUACCUCUUCCUGAUUAUAAUGAUGUCCCGAUAGAAACAAAUGUUCGAGAAAGAAGCAUUGGGGAACGUAGUAUCAAUCGCAAAUGUGAGUAUAAGCAAGAAGAUGAACCAAAACCAAAGCGACGUAAGGCGGUUCCUUGGACACCGCUUGAACACAGGUUAGUUACUAGUACGAUUACUUCUACAUCACGAUUUUAUACAAUAAUUUUAGGUGUAUAAAAAAAAUUAUCAUAAAUUAUAUGAAAAAUAAGAGCUGUUUUUUUUUAUUUGAGUGUAAAAUAUUAUGAAUUUUCUUACACUGAGACACCGACACUUUGCAUAAUAUAUAGCUAGGCCCUGUUUGCGGGGUAAACAACAUAAGCAGCUGCUUAGGAUCCAUGGAAUGUGUUUAAAAAUUUACACUACAAAUUUUCAUUAUUUUUAUAUUUUCUAUAUUGGCUUAGGGCCUUAAGCAAAUUUUAAAAUAUAUGGACCGGCGCUGGAUAUAGCUUAGGUUUUUAUAUAGUUAUGAUUUUAUAGUUGAUAUUUUUAUAAAAUGUUGAAUAUUAUGGUUUUUGUUUUUUUGGAACAGUCAAUUUCUUCUUGGUCUAAAAAAAUAUGGGAAAGGUGAUUGGCGUAGCAUUUCACGUCACGUAGUAUUGACAAGAACACCAACUCAAGUUGCAAGUCACGCACAAAAAUACUUCGCACGUCAUAGAGCUACGAACAGAAGCAGACAGAGACAUAACAUUCACGACGUCAACGUUUCGGAAAGCAGUAACAUCUCAGCAAUGAAAGCACCAAUCACAUGCCAAGACGCUAAAGCCGCUUCGCAACCAUCGGUAGACCAUCAAGCAUAUGAGACACCAGCCAUAUGGAACACAGAAGCCACUUCACCAACAUCACUAGACCAUCAUGUAUUUGGGACACCUACCAUAUGGAACAUGCAAGCCGCUUCGCAUCCAUCAGUGAAUGUUCCUGUCUAUGGCGCACCCACUAUCGGCCAAUCAAUGGUUGGACCAUAUGUCUUACCUUAUGGAACUGACAUGAAUCUCUUUGCGCCACCUUACAUGGCUUACAGGGCUCAACACCAUUCGACACCUUACUCCCCAGUUCCUAGUGCACCGUUCAACACAUGGACAGUUCCAGACAACAUGACAAAUAUACCUACUUCUCGUUAGGUGAGGUUGUAUUUUAUGUUUGUUUCAGAGCGUGUGAUAUGUAUAAAAAAACUUAACAUUCAAUUUGGCUUGUCGCUAACGUCAAAUUGCUUUGUUUUAUGUUUUAUGUUUUAAAUUUUUAAUUGUUUUUUUUUCUAUGAAAAAUGUGUCAUUUGGGGAUUAUAUAUAUAUAUAUAUAUACUAUUAUUUGUGAAGUGGUUUUUACGUUAAAAGUUAGACUGAUUAAUAUCGUUUAUACCCUUAAUAUAUAAUUAAUUCCAUUUAUUAUAUUAUCAAUUAUUUAUCUUUUUAUUUUUAUUAAUUUUGGAUAAUAAAAUAAUAAAUAAUUUUUUUUGAUAACGCUAAUAUAGAUUUCAAUUUCUUUUUAUUCAAGUAAUAUUCAUAAACAAAUUAUCUUUCAUAUUUUUGGAUGAUUAUUAUUAUAUAAAAACGAAAUAUAUACAAUAUUAUAUACAUGUAUUUUUCAUCCGAUCUUGUUAAAUUGAAAAAUAUAUAUUAUAUAUUUGUGUACAUAUAAUACUAAAAUUAACAUCACUAUGUUUAAUGUUCUACUGUCCAAAACAGUAUAAUAAAAUGUCACAUAAUUCUUUUUAAAAUUGUCAAACUUAAACAAACCGAACACAUCAUAAUUUUUCUUUCGAUGUGUUCUAUAAGUGUUGGUUCACAUCUAUACUAUUAUUUGCUUUGAUUAAAGAAUCUUGACUCAUUAUAUGGAUAAAGCUCAAGCAAUGUGUAAACAAUGUUAAAAAUUUAGAUAAAAUUAUGAGUGAUAUAUUCAGUUGUGUUAAAUCUUUAGUUGUAAAGUUAUGUCUUUUAUUAAAAAUUUAAUAAAUUUAAUAUGUCAUAAUUGAAGUAAUAUAGUUGAAUUGUAAUGGGCUUUGAAUUGAUAAUAUAUAAUAAUAAAUAUUUAUAAGAUGACUUUGUCCAUAUAUCUGGGUAAAAUAUCUAGUUAUAUUAUAUUUCAAUUGUUUACAAACCCUUUCUUAUGCAGUGUUACAUUUUUGCGUAUUUUAUUUAAUUUGAAAAUUAAAUUUGUUUGUAAAAAUAAAUAAUUUUAAAAUAUAGCUAACAUAUGUGUUAAUUAAUAUUGCACAUUUACAGGGUUUUCUCAGAACUUAAAAAUGGUUAUACAUAUAUGUAUUUUAGUUUACCUUGAAAUUUAUAUGAAACUUCUUUUUUUUUUGCGAAAUUUAAUGAUUGUAAAAGCCAACGUCAGUUUUAAAUAUUUUAAAGUUUUUUUUUCUGGAAUACUAUAUAUGUUUAGUAUGAAAACUACUCCAAAUUUUGAAUCAAAAUUUUACGUGAAGAAAAACUUCAAAAUAAAUUUAAUUAGAAAAACAACUCAUAAACUAAAACUAAAAUUUCAGAAAUAGAAGGGUUAAAAUGAAAUUAACUGGAAAUAAGAGGGUCUGCAUAAGUAAAUGAAAGAAAAAAAACGAUCCAGUGUGAAUCGAACAUCUCUUUGGGGGAGGAACCUCAGACGUGAGGCGUGAAGGUGAAGGAGACGAACGAGAUUGCGAUUCCUUUCCGUUACGCCGUAACUGUAAACCCUAGCUUAGAUCCUCCCCGAUUCAAGCUCAAUCCUAGCUUACAGGUUCGUCUCUCUCUCCCUUCUCCUUAGAUCUACUCCAGAAUCAACCUUCUCGAUUGGUUUCGGAUGCUUUGAACGGUUGACACUAGGCAGAUUCUUGUAGAUUUCUCGAUUCCAAUUGCGAUUCGUGUUGAAUUCGAUUACUAGUCUGAUUCUGUAACGUUUGUGCAGAAGUUUAGAUCACUGACGGCGACCUAGGGUUUUCGUUUCGAGAUGUCGAGCUUUCGCGUGGGAGGGAAGGUAGUGGAGAAGGUUGACUUGUGCAGGAAGAAACGCUCGGCGUGGCGUUUGGAUGUUUGGCCGUUUGCGAUUCUGUACGCCACGUGGUUGACUACGAUCGUGCCUAGCUUAGACUUCACUGAUGCUUUGAUCGUGUUUGGUGGCCUUCUUGCUUCCCACAUCUUGGUUUUGCUUUUCACUAUGUGGUCUGUGGAUUUCAAGUGUUUUGUCCAGUUUAGCAAGGUAAACCUCAUCACUCUUGUGGAUGCUUGUAGAUUUUUUCUUGAGUGAAAGGUUUAUGAUGGCCUUGUGUUGUGCCUGUGUGUUGAUUCGCAGGUUAACAGUAUCAGCCAGGCGGAUGCGUGUAAAGUCACACCAGCCAAGUUUUCUGGGUCUAAAGAAGUUGUGCCUCUUCAUUUUCGUAGCCAAGUAAGCUCAUUUGAGGUUUUAGAUUCAGUUGUUAAGCUGCCACUAAGAUAGGCUCCGUGAAUGGUUUGGCUUUUAAACUGGUUUUAGACUGCUUUUAUGACUUAAUUUAUGUAAAGUUCAGUGUCAACACACUAUGUCUCUGCGGAAAAUAAUGAAUUUAUACCACAUACUAUUUGAAUCCUCUUUAGCCUGGAAAUGCUUUGAGUUUUUCCAGUACUCUUACUUAUCAUGUUCUAACAGUUAAGUCUUUUGACGUUUGCAGAUGACUGGUUCGUCAUCCUCUGGAGACACGGAAGAAAUAUUCUUUGACUUCAGAAAGCAGCGUUUUAUGUACUCGAAAGAGCUGGGAGCCUUUUCCAAGCUUCCUUACCCCACAAAGGAAACAUUUGGUCAUUAUCUCAAAUGUACUGGUCAUGGUACGGAAGCUAAGGUCGCAACAGCCACUGAGAAGUGGGGAAGGAACGUGUAAGUCGACUUAUCACUUUCUAUACAUGUAUAUAUCAUAUUCACAAGAUCAUAUUAUGGUCGAUAAUUGAAGCUUUUUAUUAGCAAUUCCUUUUUGCGUGUCUCGUAAUUUCUGCUAUCAGUUUUUCUUUUUAUGUGUCUGACUAACUUUUCUUUCUAAUCAUUUCUCGUUCUGAAUGUAUAUCCAGAGCGUGGUUGUUCUUUUAUCUGGUUUGAUACUUUUUUCUGCUUCUCGCAGAUUUGAUUAUCCGCAACCUACAUUCCAGAAGCUAUUGAAAGAAAACUGCACGGAACCAUUUUUCGUAUUUCAGGUGUUGUUUUCUUGAUAAUGCAUGUAUCUUACAGUUCUUUUUCUUCUUCCACGGCUCUGUUGCUCUAAGUACUGCGUUUCUUCCUCUUUAUUCAGGUUUUCUGUGUGGGUCUUUGGUGCUUGGAUGAAUUCUGGUAUUACAGUGUGUUCACACUAUUCAUGCUUCUCAUGUUCGAGUCAACAAUGGCAAAAAGUCGCUUGAAGACAUUAACCGACCUAAGACGUGUUAGGGUGGACAGUCAGACUGUGAUGGUUUAUCGAUGCGGGAGGUUUGUGAUUUAAUAACACGCAGUUUUCCUUAAAGAUCGCUUCGGUAUUACUGCUGUGUCUGAAAAUGUCAAAUUUUAGGUGGGCGAAGCUCUUAGGCACUGAUCUACUGCCAGGAGAUGUUGUAUCUAUUGGGAGGCCGUCUACCCACACUGGAGGGGAGGAUAAGACAGUACCAGCCGACAUGCUUUUACUUGUAGGAAGUGCUAUCGUAAAUGAAGCCAUUUUGACAGGCGAGUCAACUCCCCAGUGGAAGGUACUUUCGUUCCUCAACGUCAUUUUUGUUUGUUGGCUUCUUUUCCAAAUUAUUGCUCUCUGGAUUUUGGAUUUGAAGAGUUCAGAAUUGUAACAGUGCACAAAUGAUAAAUUUGGUCCAUCUUAUUUGCUAUUUCUCAUAAGCAGCUUCUCUUACAAUACGUGUGAUAGUUUCUAGCACCUUGUUUGAAACUUUGAUCGUAAUUAUUAACUAGCGAGCAAUACUUACUUCACAAUAGGUAUCCUUGUAUAAUAUGGUCCAUAUGUUUUGCUGAGAUUGUAUGAUGGAUAUUAUAGGUUGCAAUUGCUGGCGAGGGAUCUGAUAAGAAGUUAUCGAUCAAGAGGGAUAAAAAUCAUGUUUUAUUUGGCGGGACCAAGAUCUUACAACAUUCACCUGACAAGGUAAUUCCGUAUCAACAAUUUCAACAAUUUAUUCUUCAGUGCUUGCUCCUAACUUGUGUUUCAUACUAUUUGAUAUUUGGGGUCAGACAUUCCCUCUGAAAACCCCUGAUGGUGGCUGUCUAGCUGUUGUUCUCCGAACUGGAUUUGAGACAAGCCAAGGAAAGCUAAUGCGGACAAUUUUAUUUUCUACAGAGAGGGUAUGGGAUCUUUCCGAUGUUUUUUGUUGUUUCAUUUGCACCAUGUUAAGAAUUUUAUUUGUUCUGAUCCUUUUGGUAAAAACACUCAGGUUACUGCAAACAGCUGGGAGAGUGGUCUGUUCAUAUUAUUUCUAGUUGUGUUUGCCGUGAUAGCUGCGGGCUAUGUUCUUGUAAAGGUACGGCAAUAUUUGUUUCAGGUUCUUAUUCAAAUAAUAUGUCUAUGUAUACUAGUUAUGAGGAAUCUACUUUGCAGGGUCUCGAGGAUCCUACAAGGAGCAAAUAUAAGCUCUUGCUAGGCUGUUCAAUUAUCAUCACCUCAGUGAUCCCGCCAGAAUUGCCUAUGGAAUUAUCCAUUGCUGUCAACACGUCAUUACUUGCUCUUGCACGUCGUGGGAUCUUUUGCACAGAGCCUUUUAGGAUUCCUUUUGCCGGGAAGGUAGUAUCUGUUAUACCUUAUUUUGCUAUUCGAUUAAGAACUCUUUAUCUUGAGCGAGCGACACCCUGCAAGGAAUUAGUUGUCUUAUUAGUGUUACCCUUUUUCUUUAAUGACAGGUCGAUUUGUGCUGUUUUGAUAAGACUGGUACACUCACGUCAGAUGACAUGGUAAGUUUAAGUGAAGCUCUUGGUAUAUGCUUGCUUGAUUUUGUUUAUGGUAAACUCAUUUUUAUUUGCUGCUACAUAGGAAUUUCGUGGAGUUGGGGGCUUGGCUGAUGGUGAAGAAGCAGAGACUGAUAUGAGCAAGGUUCCCGUACGCACAUUAGAGAUUUUGGCGUCGUGUCAUGCUUUAGUCUUUGUAGACAACAAGCUGGUAUGAGCAACUCAAUUUCUUUUCUGUUUUUGGUUUAGAGCAACUCAAUUUACUGUUAUAAGUUUUGAUGUUGUUCCUGUUUUGAGCUGUGCAAAUUUUCAUUUUUGUGCAAGUCUUUGAUUUUCCGUCUAUAGACUCUGUUGAUACACGCACAUAUGUUUUUAUUAAAUCUGACAAUGGAUUCCAUGUUACACUUAAUAAGUUUUAAAUUAAAGUGUAUAUAGUACACAUGUGAUGCAUGAUAAUUUUACUUAUGCUUUGCUUUUGCAUCAUUAGUCAUCAUUACGAAAUUCUGUCAUGCUUUACUCUGUUUUUCAAUACUUACACUUUUUCAAUACUUACAGGUUGGUGAUCCUCUUGAGAAGGCUGCACUUAAAGGAAUUGACUGGAGUUACAAAUCUGAUGAAAAGGCGUUGCCGAAAAGGUAACUAUUGUCACUUUUAUUAAUCUCGUAUUCUUUUGUUCUCAUACUUUGUGUACGGUGCCUAUUUAGCCCUGUGAUUACCGUGCAUAGAUUUUGAGAUGAAAGGCUAAUAUAAGGAUACGUACUGCUACUGCAUUAGAUAUAAUGGUUUCUUCUUUGUUUAUGGUUUUAUGAAAAAAUGAAAAAAUGAUGUCUACCUGUGAAGCAGUUGACUAAGGGAAUACGGGAACUAAAGCUCACAUAGAAAAUGUUAACUGAUAGUAUUACAUUACCUGAGAUACUGCGAUAGGCUCUGCUUCAAUGUUUUUUCACAUUCUGCGUCUCGGCAUCAUGAGUACCUAUCAUUUUCUUUGAAGCUAAUACAUAUAUAUACACCUUAAUGGUUUCGCCGUGUGCACACAUACGAAGAAGAUUGAUUCUAAUUGUCCUAUUUUAUCCGCUGCAGAGGAAAUGGCACCUCGGUGCAGAUAAUGCAGAGAUACCAUUUUGCUUCGCAUCUGAAGAGAAUGUCAGUUAUCGUUUGUAUUCAGCAGGAAUAUUUUGUGUUUGUGAAGGUCUGCUUGAUACAUUAUUUUCGUUGGCUAAAUUUUAUCAGUAAAUCCAGAUCUAAAUGCUUAUAUUUCACUUAUCAGGGUGCCCCAGAGACCAUCCAAGAUAGACUUGUGGAUGUGCCAGCAGCAUAUAUCGAAACAUAUAAGAGAUACACACGCCAAGGAUCUCGAGUUCUGGCCCUUGCAUUUAAACGACUUCCUGAUAUGACGGUAGUUACGCAUGCUCUGACUCAUGAACCUGUUGGCUUCUUGAAAAAACUUGACGCAUGUCAUUUUAGCUAGAUAGUUGUGUCACUGAUACGCUUUACACUUGCAGACGUAGAGAAUAGAAUUCACUGCUCAUCUAUUUGACGUUGUUUGUGAAUCUCUAAAUUUAUGUCAGAAGUCUUGCGUUCUUUGGUCUUAUGGUGAAAUAGUUAGUUAUCUGUUUGUUCUUAUGUACUUAAUAAUAUUAACAUCCAUCACUUUUUUGUUAUGGAUUAUGCAAGCUUCUGCUGAUUAGCUUUAAGAUUUACUUAACGAGUAUUUUAAUGUUGACCAGGCCAGUGAAGUUAGAGACAUGGACCGAGAUGCUGUUGAGAAUGACCUUACUUUUGCUGGGUUUGCGGUAAUGGCAUAGAAUGCAUUUUGCUCUUAUGAAGCUUUACUUUCUUCGUUUUUGUAAAUUGUAAACGAUGGUCUGGUAUCGAAAUUGUUUCCUAAUGGUUUAUAAUGCAUCACAGGUCUUCAAUUGCCCCAUUAGAUCAGAUUCAGCUACCGUUCUUUUAGAGUUGAAGAAUUCAUCCCAUGACUUGGUAAUUUACUGUGUUCUUAUAAUGCAAACAGACUCGGGAAUUAGGGGGCCUCUUUUUUUCCACUCAGUACAAAUUGCCUGCAAAGCAGCUAUCUCAGACUUGAGUAUAGCUUGUUUUUUUAAUUCCAUUUUUCAGUCGCCGUGUUUUUUUUCUUGCAAAGGUGCUCGUUCUUUCUUUAAUAAUUAGAUACACGGGAUGUCUUAUCCUACUUCCAUGAUUUUAGGUGAUGAUUACAGGUGAUCAGGCAUUGACAGCUUGUCAUGUUGCAAGCAAAGUGCAUAUUGUAUCAAACCCAGUCUUAAUUCUUAGCCAAUCAAGGCCUGGAGCUGAAUAUAAGUGGAUGUCACCUGAUGAGAAGGAGAUCAUACCCUACAGGUGUAGUAUUAAUCACAUUUACUGUAUAACUAAUGCAACUUCGUAUCCUCAUCUUGUACAAGCUUAGGUAUUCACAUGAUACCAACAGUAUAUGUUGUGACACAAGUCUCCAUGGUCUUUUCUUUUUCUUCUUGCUUCUGACUGAGAUAGGAUGACAUGGUUUUUGUUUACAGUGACAAAGAGAUCGAAACCCUUGCUGAAACGCAUGAUUUAUGCAUUGGAGGAGACAGCAUUGAAAUGCUACAGGCUACAUCGGCUACUGUGAGAGUCAUUCCAUUUGUUAAAGUAAGCAUAUCUUGUAAUCUCUUUAUCACUUGAUUUAUUAUUUCUAAAUAAUAGAGCCCGACUCUUUAACCAUUUCUCCUUUCAGGUUUUUGCGAGAGUUGCUCCACAGCAGAAGGAGCUAAUCUUAACCACCUUUAAAGCGGUAGGAAGGGGAACUCUGAUGUGUGGGGACGGGACAAAUGAUGUUGGAGCAUUGAAGCAGGUAACGCAUAUAGAAAUUCAUUUGGAAGAUUGAGGUUUAGCUUUUUAGAUGUCAGGCGAAUGAUACAUAUGCUUUAUUCUCUUUCUUUCUUUUGAUUGUAUUUUUGUUGUUCACAAUUCCAGGCCCAUGUUGGAGUUGCCUUACUGAAUACUGUCACUCCCUCGGAAUCGUCUAAAGAUGAUCCUAAGUCGAAGUCAAAAAAGCCAAAACAACCAUCAGAACCAGCUAGCAAAACCGCAAUUCAGAAUGGAGAAGGAUCGUCAAAGGCGAAGGCCCCACCCCAAAACCGCCACUUAACUGCUGCGGAAUUGCAGAGACAAAAGUUAAAGAAGAUGAUGGAUGAACUAAACAGUGACGAAGGUGAUGGCCGGUCAGCACCCGUGGUAAAACUCGGGGAUGCAUCAAUGGCAUCUCCCUUCACAGCAAAACACGCGUCGGUUGCUCCAGUGACGGACAUAAUCCGACAGGGUCGCAGUACACUAGUGACGACUCUUCAGAUGUUCAAAAUUCUCGGUCUCAACUGUCUCGCCACAGCUUAUGUACUAAGUGUUAUGUACUUGGAUGGUGUGAAGCUCGGUGAUGUCCAGGCAACAAUCAGCGGCGUAUUAACAGCUGCGUUUUUCCUCUUCAUAUCCCACGCUCGACCGCUUCAAACCCUCUCUGCAGAGCGACCCCACCCGAGUGUCUUCUCCGUGUACCUCUUCCUCUCUCUCCUUGGACAGUUCGCUGUCCACAUAACCUUCUUGAUCUACUCCGUGAAGGAAGCUGAGAAACACAUGCCCGAGGAAUGCAUCGAACCAGACGCCACGUUCCAUCCUAACCUGGUGAACACGGUGUCGUACAUGGUGAGCAUGAUGCUUCAGGUGGCGACUUUCGCUGUGAACUACAUGGGACACCCCUUUAACCAGAGUAUCAGAGAAAACAAACCUUUCUUCUACGCGCUCAUCGCUGGAGCAGGGUUCUUCACGGUGAUUGCAUCUGAUCUGUUCAGGGACCUGAACGAUUCGCUAAAGCUGGUGCCUCUGCCUGAAGGUAUGAGGGAUAAGCUUCUCCUCUGGGCUUUGCUUAUGUUCGUCAUCUGCUACUCGUGGGAGAGGUUGCUCAGGUGGGCUUUCCCUGGUAAGAUUCCUUCGUGGAAGCAUAAGCAGAGAAGUGUCACUGCGAAUCUGGAGAAGAAGAAGAAGGUAUGAUCAGAAGAGCCAGACAGGGUUAUAGGUUCAGGUAAAACAAUCAAAAAAUACAAUUUUAACUCCGAGAGAGAUGUUGGGUUUUGGGAUCUUGUUUUUGCUGAAGCUUUGAAGACAUGAGCAUAGGUCUCUCUGGUUAAGACAUUUGGUUCUCAUUUCUUAACUUUGUUUUUGGUUACUCUCUAAGAAGAAGAAGCGCACAUUUCUCAAAUACUUGAAUUAAAAUGUAAGGGGUUUACAUUAGUCUCUACCUCUUGUUCCUUGCUUCCAUUUUAUUUCGUUUCUCAGUUCUGUUUAGAGGAUCUGAAAACUUGUAUGCCUGUUUUCGAAACAUUAAAUCAGACUUGAGACCUGUUACACUGCUAGACUAAUAAAUUGAAACCAGUCAAAACGAUUAGUGUCUAACGUUCUGAUUUCGCCUUAUUAUAUAAGCGUGAGUAAUACUGUGGCUUCGAAUGGUGAUGAAACGCCUGAAACGCCCUGCAACCGCUCCGCUGUGAGUACUAUAUAUUUUUGUUACUAUUACAACUGCUUGUUUCGCAGUUGUCCCGCACGUCUCUGAAUGGUGCCCGUGUGUGAAGGUGCACGUUUGCUAGACUGUCUGGUUCACUAUACCUUUGGCUGCUAAACCGUCUGGUUCUGUUAGGCCAACGACACUAUUCUCUCUUCCUAGUGGUAAAACCACUCUGAAAAAUAAAAAAAAGAAAUAUUUUACCAAUAACGGCGGCAAAUACUGAAAAGGGAGAAGCAGAUAAGUAUUAUUUAGGGAUUUUAGCGGUUUUAGGGCUCUCCUCAACAACCACUAUCGACAGCUAUUGUUUUCAAUUUCCUCUACUUUGUCUGGUUCGUUCGUCUCGCCCACCUCCUCGAUCCUAAAGGUGCCGCCUCUCUCAUCUCAAAAUCUCUCGAUUUAAGCCUUCUCUGUUUUCAAUUUUAGAUCGCGAUUAAUCCCCGGCGUUGAUUUUUACUUGUAGCUUGAAAUGUGAAUCGCUAGAGCCUAUGUAAGAUGUCUGAGAAGAAGCUUCGUCCCAUCAAGCUGAAUCGUUAUACCAUGAUGGGAGAAGAUAACAGCUCCUCUAGGAACGCCUUGGUCAAAGUCAAGUUAGAGAAGGACAAGCACGUGUCCUCAGGCUCCUCCGGGAAAGCCAUUGUCACAGUCAAGCUAGAGAAGGAAGAAGAAGAAGAGGGCUUUCAUCAUGUAACUAGAAGCGUCCUGAAAAGAAAACAACUCUCUCAAUCACUAGAUAACAGCUCUCUCGUUGCAGUCAAGAGUGAACACUACACCUUCGAGAAACAGAGAACCACUCGAUGGAGUACUAAUAGGUAACAAAAGACGUCGCCUUUAACAUCAUUCACACUUACCCUUUAUAUAAAGUCGAGUCCUUUUGUAGGGUUGAUUCUGCGGAGCAAGCAAUGGAGGAUGUUUUGAAAGAGGUUGGUGCUUCUUUCGAGAAGCCUAUCUCACGAGGCGAGUUAAGAGCCAUAGCUCGGAAGAGAAUCGGUGAUACUGGGCUGUUGGAUCAUUUGCUGAGGCAUAUCGAUGGGAAUGUGACACCUGGCGGUGCUGAUCGGUUUAGGAGGUGUUACAAUACCGAAGGAGCCAUGCAGUAUUGGCUAGAGAGUGCUGAUUUGCUUAAAGUGAAAUGCGAGUCUGGUGUUCCUGAUCCUAACUGGGUUCCUCCUCCUUGGUGGAAGCUUCAGGGUGUGAUUAAACUUGAGCCUGGGGAUUGUGAACCGUCCUUUAAUCUUAAGGAAGCAAUUGAUCAAAUGAAGAGGUACUAAUGGUUGCAAUGUUUGUUGUGUUUUGAAGUUGAGAUGUGUUUUGAAAUGACGUUUUCUUUGUGGGGGUGUGCAGUGAUAUUAAGGAGCUUGUGGCUGAUGUGGCUCACAUUAAGCGUGAAUCUGGAGUUCCUGAUACUGAUUUGAUUCCUUUAUCUCAAUGGAAGAUUAAGAGAUCAGCGCAUGAGUCUCCUUUAUCUCAAUCUUCUGCUGUCUCUUCAAAGCUUAGGGAAGAGAUUGAUAAAAUGAAGAGGUAUUAUGCUUUCAAUAUUUUCUUUGUUUGAAGUCAAGGAGGUGUACUUGUAAUCUUAUUUUCUUUGCUUCUAAUGCAGUGAUAUCAAGAACCUUGUAUCCAAGCCAAAGUUACCAGAUCAUGCUGAUGCAAAUGAGGUGACCUUUUGAGAUUCAUUUUUGCUUGUUUGCUUAAGGAAUGUGUGAAGUUAGAGACGCAAAACUGUUAUGUUUGCAUUUUUUUUUUCUAGAAACGAUUCACGGAAUGUAUGAAGUGGAAGGUAGAGACUGAUAAGAAAAUUGCAGAGAUCUCAACUUCACUGACUUCAACACAGGUUCAGACCCAAAACAAGUAAACAGUAUUUGUUUGAAUCUUCUUGCCUAGGGAUGUUUUAACUUAGUGAAGCUUUUGUCUACUUUCUUCGGUUGCAGAGCAUGGUUAAGGAACUAACUUCAUGGAAAGAUAAAGUAGAACAUCAGCUGGUGGGAAUUUCAAGCUCGCAGAACAAUCUGCAGGCAAAUGGGAGCAAAUCUCCUCAUAAUUGGGAACAUCUAUUGCAUAGUACCAACUUGGAUGACUUCACAGUGAAUGGUUUUGAUCCAUGGGAUGUUGAAGCUGACCUUACCGAUGUUCUUCCACCAAAUGCUCGCAAAAGCUCUUUCCAAGAUCAUAUGUGGUUUGAGGAACAGUCAGUGCUCAACUCCGAGAUGCAAAGGACGGAGAGGUUAGAACUGUUGCUUUGUUUCUAGGUUAGGCUUUAUGGUUUUAUAUGGUUGUUUAAUGUUUUUGCUUCCUUGUUUAUCUGUAUGACCAGAGGUGAUUCCAGAAGCUCCAAUCAAGACAAAGCAGAGUUGACUCCAGGUUCUUCAGUGACUGCAGGUCCAAGAUCAGAUAUUGACGACCCAACUAUUCUGUCUCAGGUAACAAAUUAGAAACAUUGAUUUGGAUGAUUAUUUUAGGAAAAUCUGAUAGCCUAGAUGUCAACCACCCUCCCAUCUUCUUACAGCCUUUGCUUCAUUCACUACUACACAUUGAUUUAGUUUACAUGCAAUUUUGCCAAUGUUUCACAUGAUGUUAAGGAGUCAUUAUUUGAGAAUCUCAUCAUGUGUUUUUUUUUGUUCAGGAAACAUUGAAAGAGUUGGUGAGUUGGAAAGCCAAAGCGGAGCAGCAGCUAAUGGAAAUGUCAGACGCUGUCCGUGCUCUUCAGGGAUAGAGAGUCAAACACACUAGGCCACAUGAAUGAUAGAUUCACCUACAUAGAAUCCCUUUGGAGACUUCUUGUACAGGGUUUCUGCGAUAACUUGAACAAAGAAAAAAAGGAAACAAUGAGAGUAGAGAUUAGUAGGUUUCUGGAAAGUCAAGGGAACAGGUAGUAGAAGAAGUGAUCCUCUUUACCUAAAUGUGUUAUUGAAGUUAGAGACAAGGCUUUAAUAGUAGUUGUUGCUGUAUAUUCUCUCUGACUACUCUUAUUCAACAAGGAAGGUUUUGAGUAAUCUUUUUUCUUUCUCAUCAUCUUUCUGCUAUCUGAUUAACUUAUCUGCUAAUUAAUCAAAAUAGGUACUAAUCCCUUUCGUGUUCUCUCAUAUCAUAUGAAGAUAAAAAGCAGCUUGGUCUAAGACAAUAAGCAGCUUAGUCUAAGACAAUAAGCAGCUUAAUGACCUCCUCCAAAAUAGAAGUUUCCAUUAAAAUGUUAAAACUUAAAAGCAUAGAGAGAGAGAGUUUCACAAAACAUGACUCAAGAAACCAUUCUUAUUUUUCAUUUAUUCAUUAGUCUUCCAAAAUCUAAAAGUUGAUUGGAAAGAUAUUGUUUAACCAGAACCGGCCGGUUUGUGGUUUAAAUUGACAAUAAUAAUAGUGGGCCUAGUUAGGCCUCAAGCCCACUUAAAACCUUUAAAGCGACGUCAUUAGACUAUAAACGACGUCGUAAGGCUAAUAAAGAGCUUAAACUCAAAAUCUCCCAGCAAGUUCAGUUCCAUCUUCUUCAAUCCACGACGAAUCACGCGAUCGAUUGAUUCCUCCUCCUCCUCCUCUUCGACUCCAUAUCCCUCACAGGUAAAAAUCGUUUUCUCAAGCACUAUACUUUCUCUAUUUCUCGGAUUGUCCUUGCUCGAAGUAAACUUCCAACGAUUCGUAUGGUUUUCACUUUAAUUCGAGAUGUAAUGUUUUGAGCCAAUAUAAUUUUAGGGGUUUGUUAUAAUAUUCGUUAAUGUUUAAGAUUAGUUCAUAAUAGCCUUUAAGAACCUUGAACGAGAGACUUUUUUUUUUUGAAUAUACUGCAUUUUGCUGUUAAUUUCUUGUUAGAUUAUUUAAGUUUAAUAUUCUGAUUCGUGGCUACGUUUAAUAGCAAUAAAGAUAACUCCUUUGUGGUUUUGUGCAAUAGAAGAAUGGAGGGUUUUGUGGAUCACUAUAUAGUUCUUGGCUUACCCCUCUGGAGAGGAAGCUCUGAAGCUUAGCGAGAAGGAGAUUACGAAAGCUUACAAGUUGAAAGCUUUGGUCUUGCAUCCAGAUAAAACGCCCUGAUGAUCCCAACGCUCACGAGAAGUUUCAGAGGGUCAAGACAUCUUACGAGGUUCUCAAAGAUGAGAAGGGACGGAAGCUGUUUAAUGAGCUUCUUAGAAUCCAGCGCGAGAAACAGGAGAAGAAAUAUCAAGUGGAUUCCAAGAGGAGGAAAGGGAGCGUUCUGGUUUUGCUCCUACUCGUGCGGCUAGGGGUUGUGAUGAAGAGGAGAGGAUUGCGAGGAAGGUUAAGGAGGAGGUGGAUAGGAUACGUGCGGUGUAUGCGAAGAAGAGAGGUGGGUUUGAAACCCCGGAGAGUGGUGGUGUUGAUGGGAAGAAAAAAGAAAAUAGAAGUAGAGCUGGUGCUGGUGUUCAACUUGAUAAAGAGAGAGGGUUGAAGGUUUCUUGGGAUACAACUGGUGAAGGUUAUACAGUGGGGAGGCUGAGAGAAGUGUUUGGUGGCGUUGAAGAUGUUGUCAUCAGGAGUACUAAAAAGAAAUGCUCUGCUCUUAUUGUAAUGGCUACAAAAUGCUGUAAGUUGUUAACUUGGUUUCUCUCGUUUUUUAUGUCAAUAAUCUAGUAGUGGUUUAUUUCAUUUUGUUUUUAUUUUCUCUCUUGUAGGUAGCAGCGACUAGAACAUUGUGUGGUGAUCUCUCUAAUCCAUUGCUGGUUGUACCUCUUCAGAGAGCCCAAACCGAUUUCGUGACCGCUGAGAAAACUUCAGAAGUAGAACCGCAGAGCAAUUGGUAUUGGUUAUCAAGCUUAUGAAGACCAGGUCAUGGAAAGACUGAGAAAGGUAUUUCUACUCAAAUUCAUGUUGUUUGGUGUUUAGUGUUUAAUCUCUAGUGUUCAAUGUUUAGUGUUUAAAUUUUGAUGUUUAGGGUAGUGGUUACGGUUUUUAAUUGAAUUUUUUCUUUAAAAACUCUGAUAUAUAUUACUUUUUCAUGUUGAAUAAUAGGCGGGUAUGAACCAGAAACGAUAAUGGAGCAAGGCCAAAGUGAAAGUGGUCGUCCCUCACAGCCUCGUUGAACAAGGUUUUGCGUACAUCCAAAGUCAUAUCAAUUAUUUUGAAGAAAACACACACAACGUGUUGAAAAUAUAUAAUUUAUAUUUUGCGAUAUAUAUUAUUCAAGUUUGAGAGAAACAGGCAGUGUAAUGCGAUCAUCUGAACACGUUUUGCCAUUAUCCAGUGUCCUAGGAAGCGAGCACGUAGAUACCUACUAUACAUAAAAAUAUUUACUUGAUUUUAUUGGUCAAUGAAAAGUUAAAUUAAUUCAUAUAUAUCUGUAACAGCUAAUUAUGUUUUGCUAGUGAUUAUAUUUUCAUUUGCCCAAUAAAAGUGGUCUCUCUUCAAAUUCAAGUCGGUUUCUUUCCUUACUAUUUUCUUCUUCCUCUGCUUAAACAGAAAAGUCAGGCUCUCAGACUAUGGCCAGCGAGUCAAGAACCAGAUGGGUUUUACCUUACCGGACCAAGAACUUGAAAGACGAUUACUUACUUGGUCGUGUGCUCGGACAAGGACAGUUUGGAACCACUUUCCUCUGUUCCCAUAAGGAGACUGGUCAAAAGCUUGCCUGCAAAUCCAUACCUAAGAGGACGCUCCUUUGUCAAGAAGAUUGCGACCAGGUUUUGAGGGAGAUCCAGAUAAUGCAUCACUUGUCUGAAUACCCCAACGUUGUCCGGAUACACAGCACGUACGAGGAUGCUACUAGCGUGCACCUUGUGAUGGAGCUUUGCGAAGGUGGUGAGUUGUUUGAUAGAAUCGCGGAGAAAGGUAAUUACAGUGAGAGAGAUGCUGCUAAGGUUAUCAAGACUAUUGUUAGCGUCGUUGAGGCUUGUCACUCUCUUGGUGUUAUGCAUAGAGAUCUUAAGCCUGAGAACUUCUUGUUCUCUUCUGAUGAUGAAGAUGCUUCUCUUAAAUCUACAGACUUUGGCGUCUCUGUUUUCUGCGAACCAGGUCUGAUUUUGAUUCUUUCCUCCUUUGCACAUCCUUCUCCUUCUCUGGUUUCGUCCAUGAUUGUGUUGUUGGACACUGUGUCAUUGAACCCUUGCUUAAAGAACUUGUUGUGACUGUGAGUUUUUUUUGUUUUUGUCAGGCACAACGUUUUCAGAACUUGUUGGAAGUGCCUACUAUGUAGCACCUGAAGUGUUACUUAAGCAUUACGGCCGUGAAUGUGACGUAUGGAGCGCUGGAGUUAUCCUCUACGUUCUGUUAUGUGGUUUUGCUCCUUUCGAUGCUGGUCAGAUUCUUUCUUUCUCUUUAAAGAUAUGUAUAAUCGCAGCGUGUUCACGCUCUCAUCUCAUGUGUCCUAUUUUGUAACCAGGAACUGAUAAUGGGAUCUUUAGAGAGAUUUUACUGGGAAAGCUGGACUUUGAGACCGAUCCUUGGCCUAGCAUUUCAGAAAGUGCCAAGGAUCUUACAAUGAAAAUGCUCGAGAGCGAUCCAAAGAAGAGACUAACUGCUCAUCAAGUCUUGUGUAAGCUCUCUUGCUUGUUGGGUUUAGCUGCUAAAGAUGAUGUAUAAUAGUGGUGAUUCAUGUGUUCUUAUAUUCUCAGGUCACCCAUGGAUUGUGGAUGAUACGGUUGCUCCAGAUAAACCAUUGGACUUUGCAGUAGUGUCUCGCUUGAAAAGGUUCUCUGCAAUGAACAAACUUAAGAAGAUGGCUUUACGCGUAGUUGCAGAGAGACUAUCUGAGGAAGAAAUUGGUGGGCUCAAAGAACUGUUCAAGAUGAUAGACAGAGACAACAGUGGGACCAUCACGUUUAAAGAGUUGAAAGAUUGUAUCAGACGUGUUGGGUCAGAGCUUGUGGAAUCAGAGAUCCAAGAACUCUUGCAAGCAGUAAGUAGCAACUCUCUUCUUAUUGUCAACUUUCACUAUUCAGUCUUAUCUAAUACCAUAUUAUGAUUGUGUGUGUGUAUUAGGCUGAUGUUGAUGGGAGUGGAACAAUUGACUAUGGAGAGUUUUUGGCUGCAACAAUCCACUUGAACAAGCUGGAGAGAGAGGAGAAUCUAGUGGCUGCAUUCUCUUUCUUUGACAAAGAUUCAAGUGGCUGCAUCACUCUGGAAGAACUCCAACAGGCUUGGAAGCAGUUUGGUAUAAAAGAUUCAAAUCUUGAUAAAAUGAUCAAAGACAUCGACCAAGACAAUGUAAGAUAGAUCUUUUACUGUUUCCUUGUGAAGUAGCUGAGAGGAAGUUUAAUGGUGUUUGAUUCUUGUAGGAUGGACAAAUAAACUAUGGAGAGUUUGUGGCAAUGAUGAGGAAAGGAAAUGGCAAUGUUGGGAUCAGCCGGAGAACAAUGAGGAACACACUCAACUUUGAGAAUUUUCUUCCUGAAUGAAUGACUAAACUUUCUGUUUCGGUUUUAAAACCAGUUAUGUUUUCAAUAAAACCAAUUAUGAGGAGUGUAAUUGGAAUCAUGCUCUUAACAAUUAUCAAUUGUUGAUCUUGCCAGUUUUUGUUUUUUUUGGGUAUCAUUGUUCUUACCAGUUAGCAGAGGUUCUCUGUUACAAAAUGGUGUUUGGACUUAAUGUGUCUUGAAAUGUUGAAUUUAAUAACUUUACCGAUACAGUUUAACAAGUAAAAACAAAAACAAAAAGAAAUUAAGAAACUAUAACUUAGUUUAGAGAGAGGGAGAAAAUAUUAGUUUUUCUUCUUUACCAGUGGGUCAAGCAUUUCCUCAAAAUGCAUCUUCUCAACUCCUUCCUCUCCUCUUCAAGCCCAUUUUGAACAUUCAAAGUAGCCCAUUUUAAACCUUCAAAGCGACCCACUUAAAACUAUAAACGACGUCGUAUAUGGAGGUUGAGAAAGAGCAUCUAAUUCAAAAAUCUGAAGCAAGUUCCAUCUUCUUCAAUCCACAACGAAUCACGCGAUCAAUUGAUCCUUCUUCUUCAACAGGUACCUCGAUUUCUCAUGCGCGAGAGACUUUCUCUAUUCCUCCGAUUGCUCUUGCUCGAAUGAAUCCAGUUCUAGUGUUCCGCUUUGAUUACUAGAGUUUUUCACUCUAAUUCGAAACAGUUUUGAUCGGAUUUGUAUAUCUCAAUCCAAUAGAAUUUGAGGUUUUUAUAGUGUAAUAUCCAUUGAUGUUUAAGGUUAGUUCGAAACCUUUUUUUGAAUAAACUGCUCUGAAAUUGAGAAAAGCUUCUUCACCAAGAUUAGCAAAGGUCUCUUUAACAUAUUCAAGUUUACAAUUUUGAUUGGUGGGUAGGGUUUAAUUGCACAGAAGAAGAGGAUAGAGAUUAGAGAGAGAGAUGGAUGGUUUUGUGGAUCAUUAUAUAGUUCUAAGGGUUAUCCUCUGGAGAGGAGAAACUCUGAAGCUUACCGAGAAGGAGAUUUCUAAAGCAUACAAGUUGAAAGCUUUGGUCUUGCAUCUGGGUAAAUGUCCAGAUGAUCUGAUCUUAUUAUUGUAAUGGCUACAAAAGAAGAAGCUGUGAGUAUCAACUUGGUUUCUUCUCUCGUUUUUUUUUUGUUAUAUGUCAAAAAAAUCAAAUGGUGGAUUACUUCUUUUUACGAGAACAUUGUGUAGUGAUCUCUCUAAUCCAUUGCUAGUUUUACCUCUUCAGAGAACCAAACCGGUUUUUUGACCGCCAAGAAAAAUCUACCGAAGCAGAGCAACAUGGUUGGUGCUAAUGCUCAAAAAAAGAAAGAAAAAAAGACAUGGUUGGUGAUGGUUAUCAAGCUUAUGAAAACGAUGUCAUGGAAAGACUGACAAAGGUAUUUUCUACUUAGUGUUUAGUUGUUUAUGCUUUAGUGUUUAGGGUCUAAGAUUUAAUGGUUUAUGAUUCAGGUUUUAGUGUUUAGAGUUUAAAGUUUAGUGUUUAGGUUUUAAGUUUUUUUAUUAAAUUUUCUUUUCAAAAACUCUGAUAUAUAUAUUACUCUUUUUUCUUGUAUGAACCAGAAACGAUAAUGGAAUAAGCCACAUGAUCAAGAGUUGAGCUUCUUUUAGGCCAAUGGUCCUCCCUCAUAGCCUCGUUAAACAAGGUUUUGCGUACAUCCAAAGUCAUAUCAAUUAUUUUGAAGAAAACACACAACGUGUUCAAAAUAUAUAAUUUAUAUUUUUACUCUAUAUAUUAUUCACGUUAUGGCAUGAAAUGAGACCAUCUGAACACGUUUUGCCAUUAUCCUGUGUCCUAGGAAGCGAGCACGUAGGUACCUACUAUCCAUAAACAUAUUAACUUAAUCGUUUUGGUCAAUAAAAAUAUCUGUAACAACAGGUAAUGAUUACUAUUUGAUUAUAUUUUCAUUUGCCUGAUAAAAGUGGUCUUCACUUGUCUCUCUUCAUUGCCUUUAAGUCAGUUUCUUUCCUCAUUAUCUUCUUCUUCCUCUUCUAUGGCCAGCUAGUCAAGAACCAGAUGGGUUCUACCUUACAAGACCAAGAACUUGAAAGACGAUUAUUUUCUUGGUCGUGUGCUCGGACAAGGACAGUAUGGAACCACUUUCCUCUGUACCCAUAACGAGACGGGUCAAAAGCUUGCCUGCAAAUCCAUACCCAAAAGGAAGCUUCUUCGUCAAGAACAUUUCGACCGUGUUUUGAGGGAGAUCCAAAUAAUGCAUCACUUGUCUGAAAACCCAAACGUUGUCCGGAUACAAAGCACGUACGAGGAUGCUACUAGCGUGCACCUUGUGAUGGAGCUCUGCGAAGGUGGUGAGUUAUUUGAGAGAAUCGCCAAGAAAGGUCAUCACAGUGAGAGAGAAGCAGCUAAGCUCACCAAGACCAUUGUUGCGGUCAUCGAAGCUUGUCACUCUCUUGGUGUUAUGCAUAGAGACCUUAAGCCUGAGAACUUCUUGUUCUCUUCUUGUGAUGAAGACGCUUCGAUUAAAUCUAUCGACUUUGGUCUCUCUGUUUUCUGCAAACCAGGUCUGGUUUUGAUUCUUUCUCUCCAUGAUUGUGUUGUGGGACACUGUUUCAUUGAACCCUUUCUUAAAGACCCAUGUUUUAAAUGCUUAUGUUUGUUUCUUUGUUUUUGUCAGGUUCAACGUUUUCUAAACUUGUUGGAAGUGCAUACUAUGUGGCACCUGAGGUUUUACGUAGGCAUUACGACCGUGAAUGUGACGUAUGGAGCGCUGGAGUUAUCCUUUACAUGCUAUUAUGUGGUUUUCCUCCUUUCAAUGCUGGUUAGAUUCUUUCUUUCUCUUUUGUCUUUAUAUUGCAGCGUUUCAGUCUCUCUCGUCUCAUUUGUCCUAAUUUGUAUCCAGGAACUGAACGUGGGAUCUUUAGAAAGAUUCUACAGGGAAAGCUGGACUUUGAGACCGAUCCUUGGCCUAGCAUCUCAGAGAGUGCCAAGGAUCUUAUAAAGAAGAUGCUUGAGAGUGAUCCAAAGAGAAGGCUAACUGCUCAUCAAGUCUUGUGUAAGCUUACUUAUAUGAGCUUAAUAUAGAUUCUUGCUAACGUGUGAUUGAAGUUGUCUUGUUUUGUCAGGUCACCCUUGGAUUGUGGAUGAUACGGUUGCUCCAGAUAAACCAUUGGGCUUUGCAGUAGUGUCCCGCUUGAAAAGGUUCUCUGCAAUGAACAAACUUAAGAAGAUGGCUUUACGCGUAGUUGCAGAGAGACUAUCUGAGGAAGAAAUUGGUGGGCUCAAAGAACUGUUCAAGAUGAUAGAUACAGACAACAGUGGAACCAUCACGUUUGAAGAGUUGAAAGACAGUGUCAGAUGUGUUGGGUCAGAGCUUGUGGAAUCAGAGAUCCAAGAACUCUUGCAAGCUGUAAACUAGCAACUUAACUUUCACUAUUCUUCUUAAGUUUUAUCCAACAUCAUCUUAUGAUGUGUGUGUGUGUUUGUUAUUAGGCUGAUGUUGAUGAGAGUGGAACGAUAGACUAUGGAGAGUUCUUGGCUGCAACAAUCCACUUGAACAAGCUGGAAAGAGAGGAGAAUCUAGUAGCUGCAUUCUCUUUCUUUGAUAAAGAUGCAAGUGGUUGCAUCACUGUUGAUGAACUCCAACAGGCUUGGAAGCAGUUUGGGAUAAAAGAUUCGAAUCUGGAUAAAAUGAUCAAAGACAUCGACCAAGACAGUGUAAGUGAUAUUCACUGUUUCCUAGUGAAGGAGCUAAGUCAAAGUUUGAUGGUGUUUGCUUGUUUUGUAGGAUGGAAGAAUAGACUAUGGAGAAUUUGUGGCAAUGAUGAGAAAAGGCAAUGGUGGCAGUGAUGGGAUCAGCAGGGGCACAAUGAGGAACAUUCAACUCUGGAAUUUUCUUGAUAGAACUUUCUGUUUCUGUUUUAAAAGCAGUUAUGUUUUCAAUAAAAACUAAUUAUGAGUAGUGUAAUUGGAAUCAAGCUCUUAAACAGUUAUCAAACAUUGUUCUCAGAGGUUUAGCUCUCUGGUACAAAAUGGUAUGUGGCCUUAAUAUAAUGUGUGUCUUGACAUGUGUGACAUUAAUAACUUUACCAAAGCAGUUUAACAUGUGAGAUUUAUGCGGUUUAACUUUACAAAGUGGUGACAUGUUGUAUUAGUGUUGAAUUACAAUAAAGUUUUAAUUCGAUUUAACUCACAGUAAAAAUUAUGUAGUUAUAAACCGUAGAUUUAUGUAUUGUUUGUUGUAAAAAUUUAUUAUAUUUUUAAAAUAAUUGACAGUUAAAGUUUUUGAUGUAUAAGUUGAAGUAUGUUUUAAAAAUAUGAAUAUCUGUAAUAAUAUUAUUUAUUAUAAAUUUGCUAAAAUAAACUAGAGAAACUAAAAUAAAUUAAAUUUUAAAAAUAAUUUAAUUUAAGAAAAUAUACAUAAAUAUAUGUAUAUACUAUAACAAAUGGUAUCUAUAUAUUUACAAAUAUUUUUGUGUAAAAACUUCAGUUACCAAAUAGACAGUUAAAGUUAUAGGACAAUUUCGUUUAAUAGUUUAAAUAAAAAUAUUUUGAAAUUUUAUUAAUUGAUAUUAAAAACAAGUGAAAUCAUGGUCAUGUUACAAUUUUAUAAAUUAUUGAUUUGUACUUUAUAAUGCAUAAAUUGUAUGAAAAUUAUAAAUGAUAAGAAUAAUAAUAAUAAUAAUAAUAAUAAUAAUAAUAAUAAUAAUAAUAAUAAUAAUAAUAAUAAUAAUAAUAAUAAUAAUAGCAAUUAUUACAAAUUUAAUAAGAAAAUUGAUAAAAUAAAAUAUUUUAAAUUUAAAUAACAAAAGCUAAUUAAAUAAAUAGUAAAUAUUUUUAUGUAAGCUUAUUAUUGUUACCAAACGUAAUUAACAUUUAAAAUUACAGGGACUAUUUUAUUAGACAAAUUCAAAUAAGAAGAAGUUUAUGCAAUAUUUUUCUAACAAACAAAUAGUUGUUUUUUUUUUGUUGAAGAAUUUUUACCAAUUAAAAAAAAAAGAAACAUGGGACAUAAUCUUAAAGUAACGUGGAAGUGGGAUUUUAAUUAAAAAAAAAAUUCUUAUAAACUAUUAACUCAAAAAAUGAAUACAUGGAAUUUUCUUUGAUGUUGAAUAAGUGUUUGAGUUAUCAACUUAACAAAAGAUGUAACUCAAAAUUGUAUGUCAAUUAUAACACAUAAUAACUCAAAAAAAUUGAUUCUACUUCAUGAAUGGUGGUAAUAUUUUGAGUUAUAUUAUAACUCAAACUAAAUCAUGGCUAAUGCAUGUCACCAAUCAAAGCAGUUGUUUUCUUCUUUUUCUCUGAUCAACUUCUUAUAUGUUAAUUGUUUUCUGUAAUUAGAGAAUGUUCAACAAGUUUCUGUGUUGCAUCCAAAGUCAUAUCAAUUAUUUUGAAGAAAACACACAACGUGCUGAAACUAUAUAAUUUAUAUUUUUAUCAUAUGAAACUCAAGUUUAAAAUAAAACAGGCAAAUCUGAUAUCAUGAAAUGAGAUCAUCUGACCAUGUUUUUGCCAUUAUCAUGUUGUAUGUUCUAUAUCUUAGAGCAUCUCCAAAGGCACUCUAUUUUUUCCUCUAUAAUUUACACUAAAAUAGAGUAACUCUAUUAUAGAGUUAAAUUUGCUCCAAUGGUUCACUCUAUAAUAGAGUUACUCUAUAAUAGAGUGAAAUAUAGAGUAAUCAUAUUUUUUUACUCCAAAUAUAGAGUGAAAAAACAAGAAUACUCUAUAUUUCACUCUAUUAUAGAGUAACUCUAUUAUAGAGUGAACCAUUGGAGCAAAUUCAACUCUAUAAUAGAGUUACUCUAUUUUAGAGUGAAAUAUAGAGGAAAUUAUAGAGUGUGAUUGGAGAUGGUCUUACAACUCACCAUGCUCAUUGCACAUUAUAUAUAAAAAUAUUAACUUAAUGUUUUUGGUCAAUGAAAUGUUCAAUUAAUUCAUAUAUAUCUGUAACAGCUAAUAAUUACUAGCUGACAACUUAUUCAACUAAAACAACCAAGUCAAGUAAUUAAUAACUUGCCAUUCAUUAUUCAUUUAAUGUGAAAAGAAAAGAAAAAAACUCAAAUGGGAAGCUAAUUCAAUAAAAGUUGUGUUAAAUUCCCUCUCUUCAGUUUCUUUCCUCAUUGUUUUCUUCUUCAUCUUUUCCAAAGAACAAGUCAAGACUCUGAAAACUAUGGCCAGCGAAUCAAGAACCAGAUGGGUUCUCCCUUACAAGACCAAGAACCUGAGAGACGACUACGUUCUUGGUCGUUUCCUCGGACAAGGACAGUAUGGAACCACUUCCCUCUGCACCCACAAGGAAACUGGUCAAAAGCUUGCCUGCAAAACCAUCCCCAAGAGGAAGCUCCUUUGCCAAGAAGACUACGACGACGUUUUGAGGGAGAUCCAGAUAAUGCAUCACUUGUCUGAAUACCCCAACGUUGUCAGGAUACAAGAAACGUACGAGGAUGAUACCAGCGUCCACCUUGUGAUGGAGCUUUGUGAAGGUGGUGAGUUGUUUGAUAGAAUCGCGAUGAAAGGUCAUUACAGUGAGAGAGAUGCAGCUAAGGUUAUCAAGACCAUUGUUAGCGUCGUUGAGGCUUGUCACUCUCUUGGUGUUGUGCAUAGAGAUCUUAAGCCUGAGAACUUCUUGUUCUCUUCAACUGAUGAAGACUCUUCUCUUAAAUCUACUGACUUUGGCCUCUCUGUUUUCUUCAAACCAGGUCUGGUUUUUGAUUCUUUCCUCCUUUGACUUUUGCAUAUAUUUUUUUCUCAUUUCAUCUAUGAGAUUUUGGCUCCUAUAGACAAUAUUAAGGGUUUAUAUAAUUUUCUAUAUAUAUAAAUUUGGGAACCUACGUAUAUAUGCAUUUUUUUAAUAUUUUGGGAUCUAUAUACCAAUAGUUCACUAGCCUAUGUUCAGGACCGGCUAUGUCUACGAUUGUGUUGUCGGAUACUGUUUCAUUGAACCCUUGCUUGUGUGUGUUUUGUCCACUCAAAUCUAUGUUUCUUUGUGUUCUGUCAGGUGCAACGUUUACAGACCUUGUUGGAAGUGCAUACUAUGUGGCACCUGAGGUUUUAAAUAGGCAUUACGGUCGUGAAUGUGACGUGUGGAGUGCUGGAGUUAUCCUCUACAUUCUAUUAUGUGGUUUCCCUCCUUUCAAUGCUGGUUAGAUUCUUUCUUCCACACUAGAGAUAUGUAUAAUUGCAGCGUUACCGUUACUAGGUUUGAUUCAUGUUGGGAGGGACUCUCUCAUGUCAUGUGUGUCCUAUUUUGUAUCCAGGAACUAAAUAUGGGAUCUUCAGAAAGAUUAGACAGGGUAAGGUGGAGUUUGAGACCAGUCCUUGGCCUAGCAUUUCAGAGAGUGCCAAGGAUCUUAUAGGGAAGAUGCUUGAGAGCAAUCCACAGAAAAGGCUAACUGCUCAUCAAGUCUUGUGUAAGCAGCACUUGCCUUUUGAGUCUACACUGUUAAGGAUGGUGUAUAUUAUUGCUAGUGUGUGAUUCAUAUGUUUUUAUUUUGUCAGGUCACCCUUGGAUUGUGGAUGAUACUGUUGCUCCAGAUAAACCACUGGACUUUGCAGUUGUGUCUCGCCUGAAAAGGUUCUCUGCAAUGAACAAACUCAAGAAGACGGCUUUACGCGUAGUUGCAGAAAGACUAUCUGAGGAAGAGAUCGGUGGGCUCAAAGAAUUGUUCAAGAUGAUAGACACAGACAACAGUGGGACCAUCACGUUUGAAGAGUUGAAAGACAGUGUCAGACGUGUUGGAUCAGAGCUUGUGGAGUCAGAGAUCAAAGAACUCUUGGAAGCAGUAACUAACUACUCUUUUCUUACUAUAAACUUUCGCUAAGUAUCAUCUUAUGAUGUGUGUGUGUUUGUUAUUAGGCUGAUGUUGAUGAGAGUGGAACAAUAGACUAUGGAGAGUUCUUGGCUGCAACAAUCCACUUGAACAAGCUGGAGAGAGAGGAGAAUCUAGUGGCUGCAUUCUCUUUCUUUGACAAAGAUUCAAGUGGUUGCAUCACUAUGGAUGAACUCCAACAGGCUUGGAACCAGUUUGGUAUAAAAGAUUCACAUCUUGAUGAAAUGAUCAAAGACAUUGAUCAAGACAAUGUUAGUAGUUGUUUCACAAAGUUUUUUGUCUGUUUUCUUAUGAUGGAGCUAACAUGAAUGUGAAUGGUGUUUGCUUCUUGUAGGAUGGACAAAUAAACUAUGGAGAGUUUGUGGAAAUGAUGAGGAAAGGCAAUGACAAUUUUGGAAUCAGCAGAAGAACAAUGAGGAGCACUCUCAACUUUGAGAAUCCUCUUCCUCAUGAGCCUAAGGAAUGAUUAAACUUCUCAUUUUACUGAAUUUUUCUUGAUAUAACUUCCUGUUUAUGUUUUAACACCAGUUAUGUUUUCAAUUAAAAAACAAUUAUGACUAGUGUAGUUGGAUUUAAACUGGGACCCGAUUUAAAUUAUUCCCAUUAUCAAACUUUGAUCUUACCAUGAGAGAAAGAAACUGAAAUAGGUGCAAGAAAAUAGGAAUCACAGAGUACAAUACCAACCUUAUCAAGUGCUAGGAGAACACACAUAAAGAGUUGAUUCAACAGAAUGAUGCAGAAGAGAAAAAAGUGCAGACGACCUCUAGAAGACAACAGUGUCAAGCAUGGUACCUAGCGUCUGAACAAUGUUGGAAGACAUCAAGUUGGAAACAUGUUCUUCCAGAUGCUUCUUUGCGUCUUGUCUUCCCACAUUCACAAUCGCCAGUUUCUCUGGUGACAACUCGUCCUCCUCUUGUACCGCCUUGUUAUACUUAGCAGCUAAGUUCAACAUUUCCUGAGAGACAAUGCCAAUGACCAUGAGUGUGACAUGUUUGAAUAAAUAAAAAGAUUGCAAAAUAAUUGAAUCCUUUAUUACCUGCACGGUCUGUUCGUUUGUCUUGGAGUGGGUGUCAAAGGGUCUUAGGGUCAAACCAUCUGUCCAUUUCUUCUUGUGGAGGUUUAGUAACAUCUUCUCCUCGAGCUCGUUCUUCCUAUAGUUGAUGGCUAUUGAAUAGUAAUGUCUGUUCAAUCCAUGAAUCAAAGCCUGUAUAGUAGUAAACCAAAGUCAGUGUUAGAGACACCCUUUGACUGUGUUCCAACUUUAUAAAAGAUUUCACUAAGUGAUCCAUCACCUGGAUGGAUGGUUUGUUCAGGUGGCCAAGGUUGGACGUUGUCUGACGAGGUUCUUGCCCAAGUAUAAUAGUCUGCGGGUUUAUCGAACGAAACGCAUCAAUCACCACUUUACCCUUCACACUCUGAAUCGGAUCAACCACCACUGCUACAGUGAUAAGAACAGAGAUGAUUAUCGAAGAGUAUCCUCCCAACCGCCCACUCUUAAUCUCCACACCCGGAGAGUUAAGCCAUUUACAACAAUCUCUGGAUGCUUCUUUCUGUUGACUCUAGAGACCUUUUAUAGUUCAAGGUCUCCUUUACAAAUAUCUGUAACAAACUCUUUUUGAAUAUAACUACUUGUUGACUAAGUCAACAGACUUCACACUUCAGUCUUCUCUUCUUUACUGUAUAGCUUCUUUGUUCACUGCUCUCUUCCUUCUCGUAGUAUACACUCGUAGUGGCAUAUCAAUACCCCCCUCGCGAAGACCGAGCUUGCCCUCAAGCUCAUAAGAUGGAAACUGCACUUUAAACUCCUUCACACGCAUCCAAGAAGUCUCGUGAGAAGGUAAGUUCUUCCAACGAAUCAACACCUCAAGAUGUCCUUCCUCACAAUAUCUAACCUCAAGCAACUCCUCUGGUUCCACCACUAACUCAUCAGACUCCGACACUGUAGGAGGUAACGAAGAAACCGACUGUCCCUGGCCCACGACCGGUUUCAGUUGAGAGACGUGAAACACUGGAUGUAUCUUCGAAUCCUCCGGAAGACGUAGGCGAUAAGCAACCUGACCUAUCUUUUCUAACACCUCAUACGGCCCGUAAUAACGAGCAGCCAACUUCUGACAGAUCCUUCUCUGUACCGACUGCUGUCUAUAAGGCCGUAGCUUGAGAUAUACUCUAUCCCCAAUAGCAAAAGUCAACUCUCGUCGGUGCUUAUCAGCAUUGGUUUUCAUCCUUUCCUGUGCCCGUAACAAAUGUUGUUUCACAUCACACAACAAGGCAUCACGUUCUUUCAACAUAGUCUCUAACUCAAAGUUCUGCGUCGAACCAUCCUCGAACCGCAAUAGAGAUGGUGGAUCACGCCCGUAAACCAUCUUGAAAGGAGAACAUUGUGUGGCGGUAUGAAAUGACGUAUUAUACCAGAGCUCCGCCCACAUCAGAUACUUCGACCAGGUCUUAGGGUGAGCAGAAGCAAAACACCGUAGGUAUGUUUCAAGGCAACGGUUAAGAACCUCAGUCUGGCCAUCAGACUGCGGAUGAAAAGCUGUGCUGAACCUUAACCGUGUUCCCGAGGCUUUGAAACAGUCACGCCAGAAGUUGCUCAAAAACACUCUAUCACGAUCCGAUAUAAUAGACUUAGGAUAACCAUGAAGACGGACCACUUCAGCGAGAAACUUCUUUGCUACGUCAGUGGCGGUGAACGGAUGUUUCAAGGGUAAGAAAUGGCUGUAUUUACUCAAUCUAUCAACAACAACCAAUAUCACGUUCACACCUGCUGAAGAUGGAAGACCUUCAAUGAAAUCCAUUGAAAUAUCAUCCCAAAUCUGAAUCGGUAUCUCAAUCGGUUGCAGCAACCCAGCUGGAGAAAGUGUGGAAUAUUUAUGAGUCUGACACACCUCACAAGCUGCAACAUACUCACUAACCCGCUUGCGCAUCUUUGCCCAGUAAAAGUUUGCCUUGACUCUCUUUAACGUCUUAAGAACCCCGGAAUGACCUCCCAAUAAGCCAUCAUGGCACUCUUGCAGUAUCAAACCAAUGUACUUUGAGUUUGAAGGUAAUACGAGACUCCCUUUAUAUAACAAACGCCCACGACAGAGAGUAUACCCUUCUUUGACUUUCUCAUUAGUGCUCAGCCUCCCAAUCAACUCUUGAAUCCCCUGGUCUGCAUCAAUUUCCGCAUAAAUGUCUUGAAGUUGUAACGGAGAGUGCACUGUUAAUGCCCUCAACCGAGAUGGCACAUCCAACGCAGCAUACUGCACAAUCCGAGAAAGACCGUCUGCGACUUUAUUCUCUGCCCCCACCUUAUACUCUAUGUCAAAGUCAUAACCCAUGAUCCUUGUUAACCACCUCUGAUAAUCCAAGGUAACCUCACGCUGCUCCAACAAGUACUUCAAACUUUGCUGAUCAGUGCGAACUACAAAACGCCUUCCCAAAAGAUAAUGCCGCCAUUUUUGAAUUGACAACACAAUCGCCAUCAACUCCCUUUCGUAGAUAGGUUUCAAUUGUUCCUUACUAGUCAGAGCAUGACUAAAGUAAGCAAUUGGAUGCUUAUCUUGCAUCAACACCGCACCUAACCCAAAACCUGAUGCAUCUGACUCAAUCACAAAUACUUUGGUGAAGUCAGGUAAAGCCAAGACUGGUGUAGAAACCAUCGCCUUUUUCAAUGAAUCAAAAGCUGCUUGAGCUGCACACGACCACAGAAACUGCUCUUUCUUUAGUAACUCUGUUAACGGCUUCGCUAGCAUUCCAUAAGCUUGAACAAAACGACGGUAGUAACCUGUAAGACCCAAGAACCCGCGAAGGUCCUUCACCGUUCGAGGAUGAGGCCAGUUCACCACUGCACUGAUCUUUUGAGGAUCAGUAGAUACUCCAAACUCUGAGAUAAUGUGCCCUAGAUACUCCACUUGCUUCUGACCAAAGGCACAUUUCUUUUUAUUGGCAAACAGUUUCUGCUCUUCAAAUACCUGUAAAACUGCUUCCAAAUGCUUCACAUGUUCCUCCAUAGAUGAACUGAAUAUCAAGAUAUCAUCAAAAAAUACCAAUACAAACUUCCUCAAGAACUUCUGAAACACUUCAUUCAUUAAAGCUUGGAAUGUAGCUGGAGCAUUGGUCAGCCCAAAGGGCAUGACAAGGAAUUCAUAAUGUCCUUCAUGUGUGCGAAAAGCGGUUUUCUCGACAUCCUUUUCCUUCAUCCGUAUUUGAUGAUAUCCCGAUCGAAGAUCCAGUUUCGAAAAGUACUUGGCUCCAUGCAACUCAUCUAAAAGCUGAUCGAUGACUGGGAUGGGAUACUUAUCUGGAAUAGUAGCUCUGUUCAAAGCUCGAUAAUCUACACAAAACCUCCAAGAAUUGUCCUUCUUUCUGACCAAGAGUACCGGGCUUGAAUAAGGACUAUGGCUUGGUCGAAUUGAUCCCAUCGCUAACAUCUCUUGUACACUUUUCUCCAUUACAUCCUUGUGAACUUGAGGGUAACGAUAGGGUCUGACACUUACUGGGCCCAUGCCUGGUUGUAAGGUGAUCCCAUGUUCUCUACCACGCACUGGAGGCAACUCAGUUGGCUCCUGAAACACAUGAUCAAACUUUCUCAAAACCUCCUGGAGACUUGCAUGAACCUCAAUGUUCUCCUGUAAAGCUUUAAGGGACUUCUGUGGUUGGUGUACCAAUUGAUCACCCGUCAGCUUAACUCGUUUCCCUUGAUACCAGAACUCAUACUCAUGCUUCUCCCAAUCAAUUUGGCAUUUGCCUAAUGUUCGUAACCACUGCAUCCCCAGAAUCGCAUCAAUAGCACCCAAUUCUAAUACAAUGAAGUCUGUUACAAACGUGACUCCUUGUAACGUGAUUGGAACAUUUCGACAAACUCCUCCUCCUUGAACAGAUACUCCUGUUCCCAACAACACUUCCCAUUCACUUCCAGUCUCCACUUUUAACUUCGUUUGCUUUGCUAACGUUGGUGAGAUGAAAUUAUGUGUUGCUCCACUAUCCAACAUCACCACCAUGUCCGUUUUCUUCACUACCCCGCGUAUCUUCGUUGUUGUUGGUGAAAAACGUCCCAUGAAAGAUCGUAAGGAGAUGGAUUUCAACUGUGGUUCCCACACUAUAUCAUCUUCCUCCAAAUCCCAGACUUCUUGAUCCACCAAAGCAACAUCCAAGCCGUUAACUACAGUCAGAACUCGCAAUUGCGCAUUGGGGCAUACAUGUUGUCUCGACCACUUCUCGUCACAUGUAUAACAGAGUCCCAAUCUUCUUUUCUCCGCAAUCUGAGCUUCUGAAAGUCGUAACUGAGGGCGUUGUGGUCUUGUCUGCCUUGGUGUGGCCACUGGUUGCGGCUUCGCUAUCCACCCUGCAUUUGUAUUGAAGUUGGAGUAUGAUUUACUCUUAUUCUCAGGAUGUCUCGAUGUAGAUGUAUUACGGCUUUGCAUUUCCUUCUGAAUCACCGUAAACAUCGAACUCGACUCCAUCUGAUACGCUGUGGAAAUCAUGUCCGGUAAAUCAAUAGGCUUGCACAUUGUGACUACUUCCCUCAUCUCCGCCGUCAAUCCAUUCAUAAAGAUGCCUUCUUUCUGCCGAUCAGUCAACCCCUGCACCUGCGUGGACAGAUCCUCAAACUUGUGAAUAUAUUCUGCAAUGGAUCCAGUUUGUUGAACCGCAAAGAAUGGCUGACUUGGAUCGCGAAGUCGCACCCUACUGAAACGAGCAAUCAGCCGAUCUUUGAAGUCAAUCCAGCUAACAAACGGUUGCCGCAGAAUCUCACUGUUGAACCAACUCAAUACGUCGCCACUCAAACUGACAGACACCAGUUCAAUUUUCAUCAGUUCACCAUAACCUCCAAUCCGAAAGAAACGUUCCGCCAACGCAAUCCACCCGUACACAUCAUCUCCCGAAAAAAUUGGAAGCUCAACCUUCUUGAUGAAGCUAUCGCGAUCAUCCAAAAUCGGAAAUCUAACCGUAUCGUUCGCUUCCCUAAAGCUACGGCCAGGUUCCGUGUUCACGAAUCGUACCUGAGGAUCUUGUGUAAGAUCGAUCGCGCUCGUGUGAGGAAUCACCUCCUCCAUCGGUCUCUUAUCGAGCUUCCGCAGGAUCGCCUCGAACUUCAGGUCAAGUCGUUGUUCCAACUCCGUCAUCGACGAUCGAAUCUCAUCGAUACUUCCUCUCAGCUGCGCGCUCGUCUCACGUUGCUCCGCGACUUGCGCCGAGAUCGUUUCCAAGUUCCCGGACGGUAACGUCGGUCUCGUCAUCGUGAUCAGUCGCGAUUACUCGAUCCAGAACGCUCUCACGCACCAAUUUGAUAAGAACAGAGAUGAUUAUCGAAGAGUAUCCUCCCAACCGCCCACUCUUAAUCUCCACACCCGGAGAGUUAAGCCAUUUACAACAAUCUCUGGAUGCUUCUUUCUGUUGACUCUAGAGACCUUUUAUAGUUCAAGGUCUCCUUUACAAAUAUCUGUAACAAACUCUUUUUGAAUAUAACUACUUGUUGACUAAGUCAACAGACUUCACACUUCAGUCUUCUCUUCUUUACUGUAUAGCUUCUUUGUUCACUGCUCUCUUCCUUCUCGUAGUAUACACUCGUAGUGGCAUAUCA
rnacentral:lncRNA from 1 species